ACAAACUCCAAAGAUCGCACAGUGGUCUGGAGUGCCAACCGCAACACACCUGUGAAUGGCCGUGGAUCAAAGAUGACAUUUAGGAGAAAUGGAGCCAUGGUUUUGACAGAUGUGGAUGGCAUGGUCGUGUGGGAAACAAACACAACCUCCACAGAUGUAAGUAGAGCAGUGCUGCUGAAUACAGGUAAUCUGGUGCUACAGAACCAAAAAGGUCAGAUUCUUUGGCAAAGUUUUGAUUAUCCAACUGAUACUCUAUUGCCUUAUCAAACGCUAACAAAGAGCAAAAGCUUGAUAUCUGCCUUACGAAGAGGAAGUCUUGAAUCUGGAAAUUUUGUUUUGAGCUAUAACAGUAUUAACGUUUUAACACUGACUUACGAUGGCCCAGAAAUAUCAAGUGUGUACUGGCCUAGUCCUGAUCCUGGAUUUAAUGUCUGGUCUUACGGAAGAACUUCAUAUAACAGCAGCAGAAUCGCAGCCUUUGACGAUUUUGGUGAAUUUAGGUCGAGCGAUCGGUGGCAGUUUAGUGCUUUAGAUAUGGGUUUUGGGUUCAGAAGGAGGUUAACCAUGGACUAUGAUGGGAAUCUCAGAUUCUAUAGCUUGAACGAGUCAACUGGAUUAUGGUCGAUUUCAUGGCAAGCUAUUGCACAACCAUGUAGUGUUCACGGAAUCUGUGGGAGGAAUGGAAUCUGUGAUAACGGAGUACUACAAUCGGUAUGUUCAUGUCCACCCAAUCACCAGUGGACUAACCCUGCUGAUUUAAGUCAGGGUUGUAAGCCUACUUUCAAUACAACCUGUUCAAACUCAACAAAGUUUGGAUUUUUGGAAGUGCCGUAUACAGAUUACUAUGGCUUUGAUUUAGAUUACUUAACACCCAUUACGUUGGAUGCUUGUAAGGACAUCUGCUUGGGAGAUUGUAGAUGUAUAGCAUUUAGUUACAGGAUAACAGGUGCAGGAUUAUGCUUUAUUAAAAGUGCUCUUUUCAACGGUUUCCGAUCUCCUAAUUUCCCAGGAAGCAUCUACUUGAAAGUACCAAUUGACAUGGAAACAAGAGAAUCAGUCUCAACUCUUACUAGUGCUAACACCACGUGUGUAGAGGUCACAGUCAUGGUGGGUUCUCAAUCUAUGUAUAAACCAUCUGGCACAAAGGUGAAAUGGGUUUAUCUUUACUCCUUCGCUAUAGCUAUUGGUGUGGCUGAAGCUUUUGUUAUCUUGAUAGGGUGGUGGCUUUUUUAUAGAAAGAAUGCCCUCCUAACUAACCUAGAAGAGGGGUAUCGUAUGGUAUCAGGUCAGUUUAGGGGGUUUACUUAUCAAGAAUUGGUGAAGGCGACGCAAAACUUUAAGGUGGAAAUAGGGAGAGGAGGCUCAGGGACUGUGUAUAAAGGGGUUUUGGAAGAUGAAAGGGUGGUGGCUGUGAAAAGGUUAGGAGAUGUGAGCGAAGGUGGAGAGUUUUGGGCAGAAGUGAGCACAAUCGGUAAAAUCAAUCACAUGAAUUUAGUAAGAAUGUGGGGAUGCUGUUCACACAAACGACACAGACUUCUGGUGUAUGAGUAUGUGGAAAAUCUUUCUCUUGACCAUAGAUUGUUCUCCACGAGUUUUCUUCAAUGGAAAGAAAGGUUCAAGGUUGCCGUAGGCAUAGCAAAAGGUUUAGCUUAUUUACACCAUGAGUGUCUAGAAUGGGUGAUUCAUUGUGAUGUUAAGCCAGAAAACAUUCUUUUAGAUGAGUCGUUCGAACCAAAGAUUGCAGAUUUUGGUCUGGCGAAGUUGUCUCAGAGAGGUGUUCAAAGCUCGGAGUUUACUAGGAUUAGAGGUACAAAAGGAUAUAUGGCUCCAGAAUGGGCAAGCAACCUUCCUAUUACAGCAAAAGUUGAUGUGUACAGCUAUGGGGUUGUGGUUUUAGAAAUGACAAGGGGAAUUCGACUUUCUAAUAUUGUUGUUCAGGAAGGGGAAGAGGAAGAGGAAGAAACGGAGCUUAUGAGGCUUGUAAGGGUGAUGAAAACGAAGCUUCAAGGAGAAGAAAUGGAUCUGUGGGUUGAAGAGAUUAUUGAUUCGAGGUUGGGAGGGUUGUUUAGUAGGAAGCAAGCUGCAAAACUUGUUGAGAUUGGUAUAAGUUGUGUGGAGGAAGACAGAAAUAAAAGGCCUACAAUGGAUUCAGUUGUUCAAGAUCUAAUUGAUUGCGAGUCCAGUCUAUACGAUUAAUACACGCCCAUUAUUUUUAGGUUCCAUGGAGAUAUCCUAUAUAGUUUUUAAUGUAUUUUUAUCGGGAUAAUUUACAGUAUUUUCCUAAAAAGAUGAUUACAAACAAUUACAUAGGUUGAUUUAUAAUAAAGAUGUCUUUAGGAUGUGGGUCUUAAUAAGAGCACCAUUAUUUUACUUCUAAUUUAUAUUGGGGUUUAAACCCUCAACAUUUUUCUAGAGACAUCCAUCAAUUAGUUAUAUUAACUUGGAGAGUUGGUGUUGUUAUUCAUUUUUGGCUUGUGAAUUGUGAUGUAAUGUAUUUUAAUUGGAUUAAGCGCAUAGGGCGUUGGUUCUCUCGUUAAACUGUGAUGGUUGGUGUUGUUUUUCAUUUUCAGUUUAUGAUAUGUAAUGUUUUUGCUUUUAGUUUUUUCCUAGUGUUUGUUUAGUAAUAUAAUUCCAUUGUUUUAAAAUGUUUUUUUUGUACUGUUGUAUACUUUGUUUAAUAAUAUUUAAUAAUGCACAUGGCUCAAGCCUUUUGUUUUCCUUUAAUUUAGACAAAAUUACAUAAUGGUCUAUGUGGUUUAAAAAACGUCACAUAUUCAAUCCCUAACUUUUUUUUUGAUGCAGAUGGUCUAUAUAUUUUCAUUUUCUUGUGUAGUUAGUGUCUGAACUAAGACCAUCGUUCGUUUUCAUUGCGCAAUGUCUUCAUUCCAUUCAUCUUCAUCGACAAAACCAACAAAACUACUUUCAUGGUUUUGGCCUCUCGACUUUCAAUUUAUGUUAAACCUGUUUAGUGCUCAUUAUUUCAAUCGAUACCCAUUUCAUCGUUGCGAACCUAGUGAUAAAGAGAGGAAUAUGAUGAGGAAGCUUCACUUUAAGUUCCAUAUCAAUUGAUCUGACUGUAGACCAUUGUUUGAUUGCAUGACUAUGAUUUAAUUUGUGGGGUGUGAUUUCUGGGGUGAGUUCCUUGUGAUUUUCGGGUGCAAUUACUAGAUUGAUAAAUUCAACACACAUACAAUCAAAUGCACUAAUUUCCUCUUAUUGUUCAAUAAGAUGCAACUAUGUACAAGCGAUGGUGGUGAUCGGAGAUGAAGAUGCCGAUGAUGAACCCUGAUAAAGAAUAAAAGGAAAGGGUGGAUGUUGGGGUGGAUAGCAGUGACAUUUUAAAUCAUUAGGGUUUUACUGGUAGGUUGGACAAUGGUGGUGGGGUGGAUUGUUUCCAAGAUAUUACAAGUCAUUUUAAUUGUCCAACAUGCUCGACAAUUAUGCACUGUGGUUUUAUUAGUUACAAAAUAUUACAAGUCAUUUUAAUUGUCCAUAAUUGGGGCAAACCACUAUGGUCAAACUGUACAUGGGCGGUUUCUUUUCUACUUAAUCUGGAGAGAAUGACUUAAUGGGUAAAAGUGAUGAACAUUGUGAAUUAAUUUUGUUGGUAGUUAAGGGUAAAAUCAUCAUUUAGUCACAUUAAGAUAGUUUAUUUAGUAUAGAAAAGAAACAGACUUUAUGAAUACAACACUUUUCAGACAUACAUUUAAUUUAUUUUAUCCUUAUGAUGCAGUUCUUUAUGCCUUUUUUGGGUUGCGGUUGCUUUAUAUUGCUUGGAGAUCAAAUUCAAAAGCAUCCCAGAAGAAGGAGAUGAAAGAAGUAUGCCUUCAAAACAACAUAAAAGUAAUUAUUCAAUGUAUAAGUUUGGGGUUAAUGAAUACCAAAUAAGGAUUUUGUAUGCAUCAUUAUUCACUAAUAUCAUAAUGAAACCUAUUUUAAUGCUUCUUAAAUUUAAAUAGGUGGAGGAGAAACUAGAGUAUGAACAAGGGAAAACAAAUGUCCGCCGAUUCUUUUCUAAGUUCCGUACUCCUAUAUUCUUAAAGGUAUGUAUGUUUACUUUUAGGCUCGACAGAAUGGGGGUCGGCAACCCUUGGCAAAUCCUACCUGGACUCGGCAUGGACUCGGCAAACACUGUGCCACGAACUCGACAUCCCGAGUUCGGUGGCCAAACUCGACAUGUCGAGUUAGGUGGCCAAACUGGGUGGGUUUCUGCCAAGUUACUCUUAUAUCUUCUCCUUUCUUCUUCCCUACUCGACAAUCUCUUCUUCCCCUCUCCUGUUUGGCAUUACAAAGAAGAAAAUGGUUUUUGGUUGAGGUGGAGCUCGGUGCACUCGACACCUCUCCCCCAACCUUAGUGUACUAAAUAUUUUUAUCUCUCUCAUAUGUUUACUUCUUAUUUAGACAAAAAAAAACUUAUAUAAUUUUUUUAUGUUUACACUUGCAUUCAUUUAUUUUGAUAUUUUUAUUAGAAUGGGGUGAUCGGAGCUAAAUAGCCACAAUAGUUGUAACAUUUUUCUUUUUCUCUUUAUAUAUAUAUAUAUAUAUAAAAGAAACAUCAUCCAUAGUAUUCAGUUGUUGUGGAUUAAUUGUAAACUAGAUGAAGGCCACUCGCGUCAUUGGCAUGGAUUUGAAUUGUCAGUAUAUAAAAGCAAAAAGUUUUUUUUGGAUCCAUUGAAUAGAAAGGCUAUUACUUUUGCUCAAUUUAGGUUGCAAUAAUAGCCUCAAAACUUAGCAUUUGGGGUUGAUUGAUGAUUAAAUAUCUUUGUUUGAUGAAUAUCUCAAGAACUGAUGUAGGGUAGUAGUGUUUAAAAUCAUGUGUCCAAAAAGAAUAGUGUAAUUACAGUUUUGGCCAAAAACGAAUAGCUAUUCGACAUUGUACAAUAUUACAACAAAUUUCACGUCACAUUUCAGGAUAUACUUUGAAGCUUUUUUGGUUGCAACUGCAUCAUCUUUAUCAAAACCCACAAUGGCAUCUAGGACAUACAUAACAUCUGUUAGACCCCUACAUAUUUGCCCGUUUUUUCAAAAUUGGGUUGGUAGCAGAAUCCAUCACAAAAGGAUAUCUAUGAAUUGAGAGAUUAAAGAAGACUUUAUAUGCUUACCCAAUUUAAGAAGAUUGCAAUGAUUCUUGUCGUGCUUGAACCAUAUGGAUCAACAGUUGCUACAUAUGGUUUCUGCACGAUCCAACAACUCCUUCACAACAAUAAAUUUUCAAGGUCAUAAUCAUGCGGUUAUAAGUCCAAAAGAUGGUGCUUGGAUUGCUAGACUUGUUGUAUUUUUGCCUUACUUCCUGUAUAAGCUAAUUACUUUUAUUUUUCAUCAUGCAUCCUUAUGACCUUAAAACAUGGCUAUAAAAUAUGAUACUUUGGUAUAAACAAUUUUGGCAAUUUGCUGUGAAAAUUAAACAGAGUUAGAAAAUGAAGGAUUUCAUUUAUCUUUGAACUGUUGGAACUGAAACACAGUACCAAAACAUCACAAUUAACGCAACUUUCACAUGAACACACACUUUGACACCAUAAACUCCUCAUAUGUAUUACACCUUCAACAAUAAAUAAUAAAUCAUGAUUAUAGAUGAAAUAAUAAUAUGAACAAAUGAUGUUAACAAUUAAGGAAUAGCUAAUGGCCUUCAAAUAAGUUAUGUAGAUAGUGUUUUGUUUACCGAUAUCUAAGGAAAUACAUGAGUUCAUGUAAUGUAACGUCCGCAAAUUCAGGCUAGUCAAUUUAGAGACAAUAAACGUUAAAAAUGAAUUUUUGAUAGAAGAUUAUUUAAGAUAAAUAAUGUUAACAAAAUUUAUAGUAUAUAUGUCACAAGGAUUUCAUACAUAUAAAGAACCCUGAAAUCUGACUUAUAACGAGGAAAUUAUGACUUGUCGAAGUUUUGCGGCAAAACGACACGACACCGGGAAUUGUAAAAAGUGAAUUUAUGAUAAAUUCUUUUUAGCCUUAGCAAUCCAAAUGAAAGUCGUAGUAUACGUUAAACCGAGAGGGUGCAUAAAAAUAACGUCCAAAUCUGACAUCGUAUGAGGAAGUUAUGAUUUUUCUAAGAUUUAACAUAGUAGUGAACAACCUGUAAAUCGAAUUUUAGAUCGGCCGAUUUUUAGCCAAAACAAUCUAAACUAGAAAUGAAGGUAUCAUUAAUAGGAGUUCAACGAUAAAAAUACAAUCGAAAACGGAGCUUGUAUGCAAAAGAUAUGGAUGAAACUUAGUCCCUACUCUUCGAGCACGACGAAUUCGAUACAGAUUUGUAAAACUGAGAUAUAAUGAGAAUUAACCGAUGGAGUCUAAAUGAAAGUCAUAGUACUCGUAAAUACCAAUACGUGGAUAUAAAGAAUGUCGAGAAUAGAGAUCGUAUGUUAAAGAUAUGGACGAAACUUAGUCCCUAAUCUUCAAGCGCGAUAAAUUCGAUACAGACUUGUAAAUAUGAGAUAAAAUGAGAAUUAGCUGACGGGGUCUAAAUGAAAGUUGUAGUACUUGUAAAUACCAACAUGUGGAUAUAAAGAACGUAGAAAAUGAAGCUCGUACGCGGAAACGACCUACUCUAUGAUCAAAUCCCUAUAAAUAAAAGAUGUAUUCUUCAUAUUUUCUUACAUUAUUCCUCUAAACUCUCUCUAGAACCCUUCUUUCUUUCUUGUUCAAUUUCUCCUAGUUUUAGGGUGCGAUAGAGAAACUCCGAGUCAUCAAAAUUUUGACGAAAGAAGUUUUUAGAGUCGGAGUUCUGCCUGCGUAAUUUCCCGGUUUUCGUUAAAAACAUGGUAAGUUAAGUUACACUAUUCUUUUUCAGUGUAACUUAUAUUUAUAGUUAUAAGUCCUUAUUAUGAACCUAUAAACAAUAUAUGUGCUAAGUAUUAUAAAAAACAAAGUGUUAUUAUAAUAUCUUUUAACUACUCGCGGUAUGGGGAAUCUGGUUUGAAGGGUCGCAUAGGGUUGUUGGAUUUCAGAAGUGCUAUAAUCCCAAAAUGGUCUUGCCCUCAGGUGUUUCAUGUCUGGCCCUUAUUUGUACAUAGUGUUUGAAAAGUAUUGUUUAACACUUAUAAAACAAUGUCAUUCGUAAAUAGUCGCUAUAAAUAUUAGACUAAAAUCUAGCGGUAAUGAUACUAGGUUUCGUUAAAGGAAAAUAGAAUUGUUAGAAGCGAAAUAGUGCCCGAGUUUGGAAUCAUCACUUUAACAAGUGAGUGCAUAGUCCCUUUAAUGGACAUGAUUUUAAUAGAAGUAUUAAUUAAAAUAUUAAAUAUAUGUUUGUGUGUGAAAUAUUUGAUAAUGCCUGAAAUACGUGUAAAGAGCAUAUAUGAUAAAAUAUGAUGAUUUAGGAUAUAGAGUAAACCUAUAUUAAUUAAGAGGAAUAUUGGGUAGUAUCUCCAUAUGAUUACGAGUGAGAUAUACAUGGAGAGUAGAACUUUAAAACUUGUCAUUGAUCCGAGAGCAUGGAUUUGACUUAGUCAUUCGUCCUUAGUCCGAGAGUAUGGAGAGGACAUAGUUAUUUGUCAUUAAUUCGGGAGCAUGGAUUAGACAUAGUCAAUUGUCCCUAAUCCGAGAGUAUGGAAUGAACAGAGUUAUUGAUCCGAGAUCAUGGAUUAGAUAUACUCGAUUCGAGAGUAUGGAUUAGGUAAAAAGGUUAAUUUUAGAUCUGAGAGUACAGAUUGUGUCGUCAUGAGGAUCGACGGGGUGGGGUAAAAUUGCUUAUAUGAGGUGAAAUUGUAUAUAUUGUAAGUUCUAAUAUAUAUGUGUGUGUAUAUAUAUAUAUACANGAUAUAACAUUGUGGUAUUGAAAUCCUUAUGUACUCACCAGGUUUUCCAACCUACCACUCUCAGUUUAUUUGUAUCAUAGGUGUCGAUACAAAGCUACAUUACACUGGGAGAUUAAAGGAGAUGUAAAUCACUAGUGUAAAUGAAUGUAAGGUCUGUUUAUGCUUAUGUUUCUGUAAUGACGAUGACAUCCCAAAGUUUUAAUAAAAACAAAAUACAUUUCUUCAAAAAUGCUUUGAUAAUAUAUUUAUCAUGUUUUAUGGGAACAAAUUUCGCAAUAUCAUUCUUUAAAAUGAAUAUUCUGAUUUUCAAAUAAGCAUAAGUAAAUUUUUUAAAAUGACCAUGAAUUUGGGGAUGUCACAAUUGGUAUUAGAGCAUUAGUUUAAGCGAACUAGGAAUUUUAGGAAAUUGCUAGACUUAAACCUAGAAUGCUAAGCGAUGAUCGUGCGGAGUGUGUCUAAUAUAUUUUAGGCAGUACACGUGAAUAGACAUAAGCACUAGCUUAUCUAGGGAAGAUGCCUAAAAUGCUUUUAUGUGCUAAAUGAUUUGUGAUGCUUUAUGAUGCUAUUAUUUAAUUGUAUCUAUGGUCUGUUGCCGACCGGAUCUGGAAAUUUUAUGUGUUCAUAUUUAUAAACGUUUAACUACGAUAUUAGAACUGGCAUGUAACUUUUCAGAGUAAUAAGGAGGAUUACGCAUCUAAACCUUCUCCAUGUUAAAUUUCCCAUCUUGAACAACUAUUAUGGUGUAUGGAACGACAUGAUAAGGUCUCGUAGCGGAUUGAGAAAAUGGAGGAAGUGAGAAGGAUUACGAUAGCAAAUGAUACCUAUCAGAAGAUAUCGAAAGAUUGGUAUCUUACCUUUAGAAUGCGUCUGAUAAAAUAAUAGUACGUCUAGAGGAGUAUGGUACGUCCGAAGUACACCUUCGAUUAGUGUAAUUCUUGAAGUUGUCCCAUCGUCUGGCGUUUCCACCACCAACCGGGUUGAAGAUGAAUUGAUGAUUGAAGAUACGCAUUGAGGGAGUCCUAGUAGAGUCAAGGGAAAUUUUUAUGAUUGUUUGGACACAUUUGUAUGUGUUAAAAUUGUUUUUGUGAUAAUAACUUAAAGAACAGCGAGGCAAUUCUUGGGACAAGUAUGAGUAGGUGUGAAAGAUAGUAGAGGCCUAUACUACCGGAAGCACAUGACUCGCACUUGGAUCAGGGAAAGUCACAAGGUUACAAAGGCGCUAGUAAUUGACUUUGUUUUGUUCAUGUCUGUCGUUACCAUCAUUUCGGUAAUGACUAAGAAGAUGAUUAUUAUUCUGACCCUAGUGGUCAUAUCAUAUCAUGUCCGACUAAGAUAUAUAUUUUAUGUGAUUCAGAGAACCAAGAUCGAUGUAGCAUAUGAAUUAAGCCAAAAGACUGAAGUAAAAGAUAAUCGAAGCGAUCAAUAGAAAUAUCGCAAUCACCGUGAAAGUAAGAAGCUUGUAGUUAGAAGUGAUACAUACUAGAAUGUGAUUAUAUCACAUUAGAACAUGAAGGAGGGUAUCUUCCAUUCUGGAAUUUGGCUCUAAAAGACCCGAGUCUAAGCAUUGGAUCAUACGAUGAAAGGUCAUUAGAACAUGACUCAUUGGUCUAUUAUAGUAAUCGAAGUAAAAAACUUAUCUUAAGUUAAGUCUGUUAAGAAGAAUAACAAGUCUUCAAUAAAGAUUGAGUUUGUAACUCAAAGGUUACGAUUGAAAAUCCAACAUAGUACGAAGAGCAUAUCCAAGAUUGAGCACCCCCAACAGUCAAGAAGUCCAAGAGAUAGAUACUUAUUUGAAAUGACAUAAGAGUUACGAUUAUUACCUAGGAUGAAAAGAUAACAUAUGGAGUCAUUAUAAAAGCCCUGUUUUGUUGAUGAUUCCGAGACGUAAUCAUCAUAAAGGGGAGAUAAUUGUAAAGCUCGCAGAUUCGGGCUAGUCAAUUUAGAGACAAUAAACGUCAAAAAUGAUUUUUUGAUAAAAUAUUAUUUAGGAUAAAUAAUCUUAAAAUAUUUAUAGUAUAUGUAACAAGGAUUUCAUACAUAUAAAGAACGCUGAAAUCCCACUUAUAACAAAGAAGUUAUGACAUGUCGAAGUUUUAUGACAAAAUCGACACAACAUCGGGAAUCGUAAAAAUUGAAUUUAUGGUAAAAUACUUUUUAGCCUUAUCGAUCUAAAUGAAAGUCAUAGUAUAUUUUAAACCAAGAGCGUGCACCAAAAUAACGUCCAAAUCUGACUUCGUAUGAAGAAAUUAUGAUUUUUCUAAGAUUUAACAUAGUAGUGCACAGUCUGGAAAUCGGAUUUUAAUCAGUCGAUUUUUAGCCAAAACAAUAUAAACGAGAAUUGAAGAUAUCAUUAAUAGGAGAUCAAAGAUAUAAAGACAGUCGAAAACGGAGCUCGUAUGCGAAAGAUAUGGACAAAACUUAGUCCCUACUCUUUGAGCGCGACAAAUUCGAUACCGAUUUGUAAAUCUAAGAUAGAAUGAGAAUUAGUUGAUGGAGUCUAAAUGAAAGUCAUAAGACUCGUAAAUACCAACAUGUGGAUAUAAAGAAUGUCGAAAAUAGAGCUCGUAUGUUAAAGAUAUAGACGAAACUUAGUCCUUACUCUUCGAGCGCGAUAAAUUCGAUACAUAUUUGUAAAUUUGAGAUAGAAUAAAAAUUAGCCGACGGGGUCUAAAUGAAAGGUGUAGUACUCGUAAAUACCAAUGCGUAGAUAUAAUGAAAGUAGAAAAUGGAGCUCGUACACGGAAGAUAUGGACGAAACUUAUGGCCUACUCUAUGAUCAAACCCCUAUAAAUAAAGGUUGAUUUCUUCAUAUUUUCUUACACCAUUCCUUUAAACUCUCUCUAGAAUCUUUCUUUCUUUCUUGUUCAAUUUCUUCUAGUUUUAGGGUGCAAUAGAGAAACUUCUAGUCGUCAAAAAGUCGACGAAAGAAGUUUUUAGAGUCAAAGUUUUGGCUGCGUAAUUUUCCGGUUUUCGUUAAAAACCUGGUAAGUUAAGCUACACUAUUCUGUUUUCAGUGUAACAUAUAUUUAUAGUCUUAAUUCGUUAUUAUGAACCUAUAAACAAUAUAUGUGCUAAGUAUUAUAAAAUAUAAAGUUUUAUUAUAAUAUAUUUUAACUACUCGUGGUACGGGGAAUCAGGUUUGAAGGGUUGCAUAGGGUUGUUGGAUUUUAGAAAUGCUAUAAUCCCAAAAUGGUUAUGCCCUCCGGUGUUUCAUGUCUGCCCCUGUCUGUACAUAGUGGUUGAGAAGUAAUGUUUAACAUUUAUAAAACAAUGUCGCUCGUAAAUAGUCGCUAUAAAUAUUAGACUAAAAUCUAGCGGUAAUGAUAUUAAGUUUCGUCGAAGGAAAAUAAAAUUAUUGGAAGCGAAAAGUUGCCCGAGUUUGGAAUCAUCACUUUAACAAGUGAGUGCAUAAUACAUUUCAUGAACAUGAUUUUAAUACAAGUAUUGAUUAAAGUUUUAAAUAUAUGUUUGUGUGUGAAAUAUUUGAUAUUGCCUGAAAUAUGUGUUAAGAGCAUAUAUGAUAAUAUAUGAUGAUUUAGGAUACAAAGUAAACCUAUAUUAAUUAAGAGGAAUAUUGGGUAGUAUCUCCAUAUGAGUACGAGUGAGAUAUACACGGAGAGUAGAACGUUAAAACUUGUCAUUGAUCUGAGAGCAUGGAUUUGACUUAGUCGUUUGUCCUUAGUCCAAGAGUAUGGAGAGGAUAUAGUUAUUUGUCAUUAAUCUAGGAGCAUGGAUUAGACAUAGUCAAAUGUCCCUAAUCCGAGAGUAUGGACUGGGCAUAGUUAUUGAUCCAAGAGCAUGGAUUGGAUAUACUCGAUCCGGGAGUAUGGAUUAGGUAAAAAGGUUAAUUUUACAUUUGAGAGUAUAGAUCCUGUCGUCGUAAGGAUCGACGGGGUGUGGUAAAAUUGCUUAUAUGAGGUGAAAUUGUAUAUAUUGUAAUUUCUUUUUUACAUAUAUAUAUAUAUAUAUAUAACAUUGUGGUAUUGAAAUCCCUAUGUACUCACUAGGUUUCCUAACCUGACCCACUCAGUUUAUAUGUAUCAGAGGUGUCAGUUUGAAGCUACAUUACACUGGGAGAUUAAAGGAGAUGUAAAUCACUAGUGUAAAUGAAUGUAUAGUCUGUUUAUGCUUAUGUUUAUGUAUUGACGAUUACAUCCCAAAUUUUUAAUAUAAACAAAAUACAUUUCUUCGGAAAUGCUUUGAUAAUAUAUUUAUCAUGUUUUCUGGGAACAAAUUCCGCAAUAUCAUUAUUUAAAAUGAAUAUUAUAAAUAAAAAUUUUAAAAUGACGUGAAUUUUGGGAUGUCACAAAUAAUAAUCUUAACAAUUUGAUCAAAUAAGGUCAUUUUUGUUUUCAAAAUAUUUCAAAUGGAGAAGGCAUUUAUAUAUGGUAAAUCCUGAAACAAGCUUGCCAUAACUGAAUCUGUUGUCUUCCAUAACACACUCAAUAAGGAUAACAACACUCUGUUGCAGGAAAUACAUCAGAUAACUUCUUGAAUGUAAAACAAAAAUGAGUUGAUCUAGAAUGAAUUCAAUAGUUAAGAAAAAACGACAUCUACAUAGACACUAUUGCACAAAUGUGUGGCUUAAAUUGAAGAAGAUGCACCCAUGACCUAAUUUGUAUGUCAAGUCGUCAAUCUGUAAAAACACCCAAUGAGAUUACAUAAAUAAUUAAAGCAAUUACCACAUGAAAAACUCAUUUAGAUUCUUAAACUCCCAUCGUCAAGUUGUCUGAAUCGCUCAAACUCCCCUCUCACUUCCUCUUCCUCUUGCUCCACGAUUGCCUAAACACAUUUUCACAUCAAAUCUUUAUACAUCAAUUAAUUGAUUAUUAAAAAUAAAAAAUAAGAUUUAAAAUGGAGUUUAAUUGCUUCAGAAGGAUUGCGAUCUCCAAUAUUCUCUUAUGUUAUUCCACUUUUACCCCUAACUUCUCGGCACCUAUUUUUGAUCUCGGUCGUCAUUUCUUAUGUUUUCUUUGGUCUCGAUUUAAAGAAAGAUUAGUAUUCUUCUAUGAAAGAUUCAUAUUCAACCUUAAAAAAUCAAAGAAUUGAAUUGAAAACUGGCAUAAGAGUACAUCCUAAAUUAUACAAAAAAAUUAUGGAAAAAGAAGGGACUAACCGAUACUAAUUUUAUUUUAAAAAUAUAUCCAGAUAUAACAUUUUACUUUCAACUUUUUUUAAUAUAUUAGGGCAUCAUACCUUCAAAUACAAUACUGUAACUACAAAAACUAUAUGGUGUGUAGAAUAAGCAUAGAGACUUCCAAGCAUGAAAUUUACAUUUAAAUGUGCUUUUUACAACAUUUUGAUAAAUUGGACUACACUAAAAUAUAUAUUUUUCUUGGGUCCAGAAAGAGCAUUUACCAUUGCCUUUAGAAACACCAAACACUCCACCUGAUUGUAAGAAAAUAGGCAAAAUUGUAAGAAUGGUCCCCGUGGUUAAGAAAAAAUUGUCACUUUGUGCCAACCAGGUUUCGACUAGCACCAAUGGUCCAAAAACUUUUAGUUUGUUGCGAGUUUGGUCAAUUUUUUCUUAUUUUUAUAAAAUGAUGAUUUUGCCCUUUAUAUUUUCUUUUUUUUUUUUUCUAAUUUUUUAUUACAUAAAAAAAGAAAAAGAAAUCUCUCUCUCUCUCUCUCUCUCUGUAUANNNNNNNNNNNNNNNNNNNNNNNUAUAUAUCUUUCUCAUGUUAUCCAUCUUAGACACAUUUUCUUACCCAUCUUUCUUCUUCUUCCUCAAGAAUACUAAAGAAUAUCUUCCGCCCUUAUGACUGAACACAUAGUUGUUCCAUCAUGUGACCUCUCACCCUGAAUCACCAACCCGCCCCCAGUUGGAGUCUGAACCCUCACUAGCUGCUGCUCACAGUCGAUCACUGCCCCAUUGGGGCUCAACCAGUCCAUACCAACUAUAACCUUAUUCCCUCGCAGGGGAAUAGGGACUAAAUCCACAAAAAAUAGCUCAUCGAACAACUACAGUGUACAUCCUUGGUGAACCCUUGCAACCCUGACGGUCCUAUCAUCUGCUAUCUCUACAUCAAGUGGGCAAUCCAGCUCCCCAAGAGCCCCUGUGAAUCACUUGCUGAGUGCGAGCGAAACAAAACAUCGGGUGACACCCGAAUCGAAUAGUACCGAAGAUGAUAUACCGUUCACUAAGAACGAUCCUAUAACAAAACACAUAAACAUAAGCAAUAAUCAAUGUCAAUAAAGAGUUAAGGGAAAAAUACAUACCCGUCACCACGUCGGGAUCUGCUCGUGCCUCCUUUGUAGUCAACUAAAAGGACCUGCCCUUCGCCACAGACUCCUCACCCCAGCCCUAACGGUCAUAUGUAAUCCUCAAUGUAGCAGGGGCGAGUGUUGCCACCUGCCCUGCUGCUGCUAAACUCGGGCACUAGACCACUUGUGUCUCCUCUGAUUGCACUGAAAGCAAAUCAGAUCUGAUACUAUUGUGGUGGUGAUAGUAGUUGUAUAAUAUCCGCUCACAUGUCCAGUUCAGGCGCACUUGAAUCAGCCUGAACUCCCCGCCUUGCAUGUCCCAUCGUGUAUCUUUCCACAUUUGCUACAACGACUCUAACCCUGCUGGCUCCUAGGUUUGUGAUCUGUUACCUUGGGCUUCUUGCCCAAACUUCCUGUUUGAACCCCCUCGAGUUUCGUCUUCCUCUCCAUCUCUAAAUCCAAGUUUCUCUCUCGAGCCCUAGCAAUGAUGUCCUCCAGCGCCUUGCAGCUGGAGCGGCUCACAAACUGGCAGAUAUCACUCCGCAACGUCUCAUGGUAUCGGGCCUUUUUCAUCUCCUCGUUUGCCAUGUACUGCAGAAUGAGAAGGGCUCUCUCCCUGAACAUUGCGGUGAUCUCAUUCACCGUCUCAGUCGUCUGCUGGAGAUCCUGGAACUCCCUGGUAAGCUGUUGCACCUCAAUAACAGGUGCAAACUCGGACCUGAACCUGGCCGAAAAAUCACUCCCAGUCAUCGCAUCUAGAACUGCGUUAUCUUCAACCUCAUCCGACCUCCUCCCACCAGUUACAUGCCCUGGCCUUCAGAAGACAGGAUGUAAGUCGAGCCUUAUCCCCCUCAGGACAUCUGCUAAUGCGGAUUGUGUUGGCGACAUCCGCCAACCAUUUAGUGCUCGCAAUGGGGUCCCGAGCCCCAUGGUAGUCGGGAGCUCCACAAGCUCUAAACUCCUUGAAUGUCAGUGUGCGCGACCCCAUCAUGGCCGCCACCUCAGUGCGGAAAGUACUCAAUCUCUCAUCUAGGAGCUCCAAAAUACCGUCCUUAAUCGUGCUAAAGAUCAUAGGGGUCUGAUCCAGAAUACUGCGUGUGAUCUCAGAGGAGAUGAACUCCCUCUUUUGGUCAUCCAACUGCCCGGCUCCAGAGCCCGAGCCUAAUCCCUCAUCGGUGCCUGAACUGCCGACUGGUUGUGACAUCCCCAUAUUUCACGGCUAGAAAAGACCGAUUUGUUUUAAAAUCAGAGUAAUCUUUUAAUGAAAAUUGUUGUGGAAUUUGUUCCCAAAACAAAACGUGAUAAGAAUUUAUCAAAGCAUUUGUUUAAAGAAAUGUGUUUUCAUUAAAUAACAAAAUCUCGGAAUGUCAUGUUUCGAUACAAUCCAAAAGCAUAAAUAGUAUAAAAUAGACCUUACAACAGUUAUUUAUAACUACUGAUCUAUAAUCCAAAAUCUCUCAUCGUGUUAACCAACUUAUGCUCUUGUGCCACUACCUGUGAUACAAAGAAAACUGAGUGAGUCAGAUUUGGAAAACCUGGUGAGUACAUAAGGAUUUCAAUCCCACAAUGUUAUAACACACACACACACACACACACAUAUAUAUAUAUAUAUAUAUAAUUUAGAAUUCACACAANNNNNNNNNNNNNNNNNNNNNNNNNNNNNNNNNNNNNNNNNNNNNNNNNNNNNNNNNNNNNNNNNNNNNNNNNNNNNNNNNNNNNNNNNNNNNNNNNNNNNNNNNNNNNNNNNAUAUAUAUAUAUAUAUAAAACCAAAUCUUACCCCACACCGUCAAUCCUCUCAACGAGACUAUCCAUACCCCUGGACCUCAAAUUCUAUCUCUUACUCCCGGAUAUAAUCCAUGUUCUCGAGUCCAUAAUUGUGCCCAUUCCAUACUCCCGGAUAAGGGACAAUUGGUCCAUGUCUAAAUCCAUACUCCUGGACUAAUGACAGAUUCUAUGUCCCGUCCAUACUCCCAGACUAAGGACAACUGACUAUGUCUUAAUCCAUACUCCCAGAUUAAUGACAAUUUACUAAGUCCAAUCCAUACUCUCAGACUAGGGACGAAUAACAAUGUCUAAUCCAUGCUUCCGGAUCAAUGACAUAUUUUAAAGUUCUAUUCUCCGUAUAUAUCUCGCUCGUACUCAUAAAGAGAUACUACCCCAUAACCAUUAUAACAAACCUUAGGAUUACUCUUUAACCUAAGUUAUCAUAAAAAAAAUCAGGUAUGUUCUUUAACACAUAAUUCAGACAUCAUCAAAUAACUCACAGAAUACAUAUAUUUAAUACAUUCAAACAAUAUUUGUGUUAAAAUCAUGUUCAUGAAUGGGACUAUGCACUCACAUGAUAAGACGAUGCUCGGAAAACACUACAACUCUUAAAAUAAUAAUCUUCGAUGAAACCGGGAUAUCUUCCAAAAAUCGGGCUACUCGCAGGCAGAGUUUCAGCUCGACAGCUCUAUUUCUCGGGAUCUUCAGUGCUUUGGGACUUGCUUCGGUUGUCGGGAUGAUACCGGGGCUUCGGGGUAUAACUUACUGUAACGCCCGUAGAUCCAGGUUAGUCAAUUUAGAGAUAGUAGGGGUCGAAAACGACUUUUCGGCAAAAGAUUAUUUAUAAUAAAUAGUCUUAACCAAGUUUUAGAAUAUGUCUCAAGGUUUCCAUACAUAUAAAGAACGCCGAAAUCCGAGUUAUAACGAAGAAGUUAUGGCCCGUCGAAGUUUUACGGCAAAACCGACACGACGCCGGGAAGCGUAAAUAGUAAAUUGACGAUGGAGCAACUUUUAGCCUUAGCAAUAUAAACCAAAGUUGUAGUAUACGUUAAACCGAGAACAUCCAUAAAAAGAACGCCCAAAUCUGACUUCGUAUGAGGAAGUUAUGAUUUUCUAAGAUUUGGCUUAGCAGUGCACCGCCCGAAACUCGAAUUUUAGUUCGAGCGGUUUUUGGCUUAUGCGACCUAAAUGAGAGUUGAAGAUCUCAUUAAUAGGAACUCAACGAUAAAAAUAUAGACAAAAACGGAGUCCGUAUGACGGAGUUACGAAUUCUUCGCGGUCAUUUAACAGUCUAAACGCGUCCUACUGUUAAAUUUGAGAUCGGUCGAGAAUUAGCUGACGGAGUCUAAAUGAAAGUUGUAGAUAUUGAUUUUACCUACGCGUUGAAAAAAAUAACUUCGAAAAUGGAGCUCGUAUGUGAGAGUUAUGAUUUUUAUAAGUUUGAAGGCUGAUACGCGAUAGGGGGUGACGUGGCACCACCAGAAGGCUGCCAGAUGCCCCAACUCGGCGAGUAGGUCCUCCUACCCGGCGAGUNNNNNNNNNNACUCUUUCUCUAAGCUCCCUAACCCCCUUAAAAUCCUAGGUAAACCCCCUAGCACCCGAAGGAAGCCCCGAGACUCCCGGAGUCCCGAGAAAAGAGCCUUUCGGCUCGGGAACGCUGCUCCAGCGAAACCCAGUUUUUUGCAAAAAACCCGCUGUAAGUGAGCUACGCCUAUGCUAUUUUUAAUAUAACUUCUAAUUAAUUAUAGUAACAUUAUUAGCACUGUAAAAUAAUUAUUUGAGCUAUUAUUAUGAGUUAUAUUGAGUGUUAUUUAACGCUUAUAUAAUAGUAAUAAUAGCUAGACUAUUAAUUAGUCGCGGUUAACGUUAGACUAAAAUCUAGUGGUAAUGAUACUAGGUAUCGUCAAGGGAUAAUUAUUUUAAGAGUAACGAAGUGCUGUCCGAGUGCCGACUCACCUCCUUACCAGGUGAGUGCAUAGUCCCUUUCAUGAACAUGAUUUUAAUACAAGUAUUGAUUGAAGUAUUAAUUAUAUGUUUAUGUGCGAGUUAAUUGAUGUUUCCUGAAAUACGUGUUAAAGAACAUACCUGAUUAUAUAUGAUGAUUUAGGAUAAAGAGUAAACCUAAAUUAAUUAUGAGGAAUAUUGGGUAGUAUUUUCUUACGAGUACAAGUGAGUUAUACUCAGAGAAUAGAACUUUAGUAUAUGUCAUUGAUCCGGGAGCAUGGAUUAGACAUAGUCAUUGUCCCUAGUCCGAGAGUAUGGAUUGGACAUAGUCAACUAUCAUAAAUCUGGGGGCAUGGAUUAAGACAUAGUCAGUUGUCCUUAGUCCGAGAGUGUGGAUUAAUACAUAGUCAUUCGUCCCUAGUCCGAGAGUAUGGAUUAGGCAUAAUCAUUCGCCAUUAAUCCGAAAGUAUGGAUUAGUCAUUCGUCCCUAGUCUGAGAGUAUGGAUUAGGCAUAAUCAUUCGUCAUUAAUCCGAGAGUAUGGAUUAGUCAUUCGUCCCUAGUCCGAGAGUAUGGAUUAGGCAUAAUCAUUCGUCAUUUAUCCGAGAGUAUGGAUUAGUCAUUCGUCCCUAGUCCAAGAGUAUGGUUAGGCAUAACUAUUCAUCAUUAAUUCGAGAGUAUGGAUUAGGUAAAACGGUUAAUAUUAGGUUUGAGAGUAUGGAUAGUCUUGUUGUGAGGAUCGACGGGGUGGGAUAAGAGUUGCUUACACAUAUAUGGUGAAAUUGUAUGUUUUGUGAGUUCUAAAUUAUAUAGAUGAUAUACCAUUGUGGGAUUGAAAUCCCUAUGUACUCACCAGGUUUCCCAACCUGACCCACUCAGUUUAUUUAUAUCACAGGUGUCGAUAUGAAGUGACAUUACAUUGAGAGAUUAAGGAGAUAUAGAUCACUAGUGUAAAUGAAUGUAAAUUCUGGUUAUGCUUAUGUUUAUGUAUUGACGAUGACAUCCCAAACGUUUUAAAAUGAAUAAAAUACGUUUCUUCGAAAAUGUUUUGAUAACGUAUUUAUCAUGUUUUCUGGGAACAAAUUCCGCAACAUUUUUAUGAAAAGAAGUACUUUGAUUUUUAGCAAAGCAUAAAAAAAUCGGUCUUUUCUGGCCGUGGAAAAUGGGGAUGUCACACUUACACGUAAAACGAGGCAAUAUGGAGUGAGAGGAAAGAAAUUGAGCAACCAAUUGGCUGGACUUGACUUCUAUUUUUAGGAGGGGUUUGGCCCUCGAACGGAGGGUGUUCCCCAGGGGAACGCAGGGCAUUCCCUGAACGCUAGGCAUUCCCUUUGAACGCGAUGCGUAGGAGCGGGGUUCCAGUCUUACCUCUUAUCCGGUUGAGUCAGCAUCGACGUGGCCAAUCCGGGGCCAAGCUAUGAACGCAGGGCGUUCCCUCUUUGGGAUGCGUGCCUCGAACUUCAGAAAAUCAUAACUCUUGCAUACGAUCUCCGUUUUCGAAGUUCUUUAUAUCCACAUGUAGGUGAGACUAUGCUCUACAACUUUCAUUUAGACUUCGUCGGCUAAUUUUGAAUUUUUUUUUUAUUAUUAUAUUUUCAAUAGGCCGGGACAGGAAAAGUCCGUUACAAAUUCAUAACUCCUCCAUCCAACGUCCGAUUUAGUCUGUUUUUUUUUACCGUUGCACUACUAUUAACGAGAUCUUUGAUUCUCGUUGUAACGCCCCGUUCUAAAAGUACUUAUUUAUGAAUUUCCAAGAUCAAGAGUAAGAUCUUGACCUUGGGAAGCUCAUUUUGGUGGUUUAAGCUUGGAAGAGGAAAAGAGGAAGUUGUCAAAGAAGGACUUUGGAAGUUGGAGCUUAUAGAUCUGGAAUAACAUCAUCUUCUGGAGCCCUUUUGAGGUAUAAAGUCUCUUGCUUGGCAUUUAUUUUGUGUAGAUCUUGGUGUUAUGAGGUCUUGACACCAUUUCUUGUCCCAAAAACCCCAAAGUGAUGCAUGAUGCGAGUUGGUUGAGAUUAGCUGUCCUUUAAGACCUUAGGAGAGGUCUUGUGUGAGAAAAAUGAGGUCCCAAUGGCUUUGGUUGUCUCAUGUGUGAUAUAAGUAGGUCUUAAUGGAUUAAGACCUUGGUUUAAGAGCUUUAUGGGCGUCCCAAGUAAUAAUGUUUGAGACUUUAUGAAUCCUAGGCAUAUUUGGUCUAUGGAUAGGAAGUUUGGGCUUAAGAGCUUAAGCCAUUAAGAACUUAUGUGGGAUUUUAGUUCAGCGAGAGUACGCCCCACGUAAAUGGAUGUACGCCCAACGUAGUGGGUCUGUGUCCUGAUUCCAAUCCACGAGCAUCGAUGUACGCCCAGUGUACCAAGAGGGGUACACCCAUCGUACUCCCUCUGUUGGGUUUUGAUUUUAGGCCUUAAGUGAUUGGGCUGUUUAUGGGCUAGUGGGGCUUGGGCCAUGACUAAUCAUUAUGGAUGGAGUAAUUUAGACCCAAUGAUUAUUAUGGACCUUGGAUCUAGGCCCGUUUGUAAAGGUGGGCCCAAUUUAGUAAAUUGGGCCAAUAAUGGGUUUUGCAUGAGGAUUUGGUUUUGGGUCUUGGCCCAAUAAGAGGAUGAUGGAUUUAAUGAGUGUUGUGGGCCCUUGGUCUAGAAAGUCAUGAUUGGACUCUAACUUGGUGAUUAUCAUGUGAUAGCUGGGAGUUUCGGUGAGUCAGCAGUUGAAGAUUUGAAGGAUUUCGGCAGUUGCAAGGUGAGUUAUCCUCACUAUAUCGACAGGGUCUACGGCACCAAGGCCAGCCCUUUAUCGGAUGGAAAUCCGGGUAUUGUUUGUUAUGUUACUGAUAUGCUAGAUCUGCAUCCUGGUAUUUAGGAUGGUGUUAUGUUAGUGACCUGGUUAAGGUCGGUACCCGAUAUAUAGGGUAAUGCUAUGCUAGUGACCGGUUAGGUCGGAAUCCUGGUUAGUAUGUUGAUAUGCUAUGUGAUCUGUUAGACUGUUUGUCUGGUUAAGGAUUUGUUAUGUGAUUAAUUGGUUUAUGUGUACAUGGUUGUUUAACGGGGGUUGGGUUGAGGUGAGUCCUGCUUAGUGUUGUAGGCCAACAUACCCAGGGCGGACCGGAUAUUCCGAAGGCCCAGCGAGCGGUCCAGAUAGGCUGAAGGUCCCAAGAGGGCGGACCAGAUGUGCCGAGGCUCAGAAAGUGGACCAGGCCGACUGAAGGCCCGGUGUGGGCGGACCAGUCAUACUGUAGACUCAGAGAGUGGACCAGGUGGAUUGAAGGCCCAGUGCGGGUGGACCAAUCACACUGUAGACUCGAUGUACAUGGCUAGAAUCAGAGGGUGGACCAGGUGGACUGAAGGCCCGAUGCGGGCGGACCCGUCACACAACAGACCCAAUGAGAACGACUGUUCUAUUUGUGAUAUGAUAUGAUUAUGUUAUGUGUGGUCGGUAUUUUGGGGGUAACUCAGUAAUCUUUCGGGCUUACAGUUGUAGUGUUAUGUUUCAGGUACUUCAGGAGAUCGUGGCAAGGCGAAGGCGUGAUUGUACCGCUCCUCAUGUUUUAUGAUUUAUGUGCUAUGGUUCUAGGGAUGCUCUGAUGUUUAAACUAUUUUGAAAAUGAAAUGUAUGAACUUAAUGGUUUUUGAACGAAAGAAAAUGUUUUAAAUUUGGUUGUUAUACUCGUUUAGAUUGUUUCAGCUAGAAAUCAAUCGAUCUCAUAUUCGAACUUUGGGCUGCAUACCGCUAAGCUGAAACUUAGAAAAAUCAUAACUUCCUCAUAUGAAGUCAAAUUUGGACGUUCUUUUUAUGCACGCUCUCGGUGUAACGUAUUCUACGAAUUUCGUUUAGAAUACUAAGGUUAAUUAUCGGUCUAUCGUAAAUUCACUAUUUACGUCGCGCAAUGUCGUGCCGAUUCUGUUGCGAAACUUCGACAUGUCAUAACUUCUUCUUUAUAACUCGGAUUUCAGCGUUCCUUAUAAGUAUGGGAUCCUUGUAACUUAUAUAACAACUUAGUUAAGAUUAUUCCUUUAAAAUAAUCUACCAUCAACAAGUCAUUUUUGAUGCUCAUUGUCUCUAAAUUGAAUAGCCCUGAUCUACGGGCGUUACAAUUAUCUCCCCCUUAGAAUGAUUUUGUCUCGGAAUCAUCAACAAAAUAGGGCUUGAAUAAUGAUUCCAUACAUUUUCUCUUCAUCUUAGGUAAUUGUAACGACCCAAAAUACGACCCAAAAAUUUUUGUUUUAAUAUUACUAAAAAUCGCAACAUCAACUAUUAGAUAAUAAAACCAUGAAUCGUAUGUCUCAAAAUUCCAUAGUAAAUGUAUCAAUUCAAAACUGAAGUUAAUAUCAUAUCAAAAUAUCAAUAAAACUCCCAGGAAUAAACUGCAACUAUGGUGUGUGCCAUGCCAUCAAUCUGAGCCCUUCCUCUUGCUUGCGGAAGUACCUGAAACCAAAACUGAAACUGUAAGCACAAAGCUUAGUGAGCUCCCCCAAACUACCACAUACCAUACAAUAACAUAUAAAGCACAUACUGGGCAUUGCCCACUGCAUCGGACCAAAGUCCGGACUAACCGGGGCCUUGCCCCCUGCAUCAGACCAAAGUCCAGAAACUGCAUCGGGCCGAAGCCCGGACUAACUGCGGCCUUGCCCCCUGCAUCGGACCGAAGUCUGACUAACUGCAUCGGACCGAAGUCAGGACUACUGGGGCCUUGCCCCCUGCAUCGGACCAAAGUCCGGACUAACUAGGGCCUUGCCCCCUGCAUCGGACCGAAGUCCAGACUAACUGGCUGAACAUGACAUAAUGACAUAACAUAAUCACAACUACUAGCAUAAACACAUAUACUGCAUACUGCAUCGGACCGAAGUCCGGAACACAUAACACAAAAACAUGCUUGAAUCACAAAGACGUCAAGCACACUGAACUACUGCCUCAGACCGAAGUCCGGAAACUACUGCUAACUAGACAGGUUGGCAUUGUGGCCGUAGACCCGUUCCUACUGGAAGGAAACUCACCUGAACUGCUGAACUCGGACGAUAACCCUCCGGAUCCUAAUCGACAACUCUCCGAAAUGCUGCUCCUCUAGCUCCCUGAGCAACCAAUACCAAUAAACAACACUUAGACUAAACUGUCUUCCCAGGGUCAAUUAAGUCAACUUUGGUCAAAGUCCUGGUCAAAGUCAACCUUCCUGAUUGACCCGACUCGCUGAGUCAACCCGUCGACUCAUCGAGUUCUUAUACUCAGAAAACUCCCAUAACACGACUCAACUUGCCGAGUCACCCAGGACUCGUCGAGUUGAACGAUCUCUGAAUUCCGUCUUAACCAACUCACUGAGUCGCCAACCGAAUCACAGAUCCGAAGCUUAACCAAAAGAGGUUGGGGUUCUGCGACCUGACUCGCCGAGUCCAAGAACAGACUUGCUGAGUCCAAGGCAAUCUUCAACAGACUCGCCAAGUUGUUCUUCCAACUCGUCGAGUUCCUGCCCAUCUUCAUACAACUCGCCAAGUCUACCCAUUUGACUCGCCGAGUCGUUUCAGAUCUUAAUCCAUACAAUGGCGUUUCGAGCCAUGCAGGGGCUCCAAAUUGUUUAUCCACUCUUCUAAGGCCCACCCUUCACGCAAAGUUGCAAACUUUACGUGAAACCAAGGAGCCAUAGGAUUAAAACACUCUAGGGCUAGGGUUUAAGACAAACAUGCUUCACCAACACACCAAGGGCUGAUACUUUACGGGUUUUUGGACCAAGACAAGCCUAGAUAUGAAGUAGCAACCUCAGAUCUGGACUUCUAACUUGAAAUGGCUCCUUAACAUGCCAAAAUGGCCCCAAAACAUCAUCCAAGAAAAGAUCUAGAAGCAACAAAGGGAGAGUGACAGAUUGUUACCUUCAAACUGAUGCUCACAACCAAAGAGUUGAAUCCUCCAGCUCCUUAGUGGUCAAAUCCUCCAAAUCUUUUGUCUUGUAAAAUCCCCAAGCUCACUUUCCUCCUCCUCUUACUCAAAUUAGGGUUUGGAAUCACUUAAAAGAAGCUUUUGGCCGACAAGGGGGCUAAGGAGAGGACAUAAGGUCCUUUAAAUAGGGUGCAAACCCUAAUAUUAGGGAUUUUCUGGUCCAGACCAUACUCGCCGACUCACCGAGUCGGUCAUUAUUCUAUAACCCGGAUCCAGCUCUGACUUGGCGAGUAAGUAUACCUACUCGUCGAGUCCCUUCUUCAAUCUACACUUUAAGCUCUUAACUCAAACUUCUGAAAUUUGGGAUGUUACAACUCUCCCCCACUUAAAUUAGGCUUUGUCCUCGAAGCCUACUGCAGGAUACGCUUCCGAACUAACCACUUGCAUUGCAAACUCUGAAUUGUCAAAUAACUCAGGUCCUUCCAAAUCCUACCACUGCACCCCUUUUUAAAAUAACUUCUUCUCACGUGGCAGCCUUGCCAAAACUCAUGCCGACCCACGGCCUCAAUGUCAUCACAUAACAACCAAGUAUCACCCGAGGAUACUGUCCCUUUCCUGACAGGAACACACUUUCAUGACUUGCGAAAGUUAUAUACCAUAAUAAUUCACUGGGUCCUCUCCCGUUGCCAAACUAUCCUCCCUUUUUCCAUAUCUGCCGAUAACCCGAGCAACUCGCAAGGUUGGAACUCAUUCUGUCCCCUUCAUGAAUCCAUUCCUUUCAUGCUAACUACCCUAGGUUCUCACUAGAACAACAGAAUCCACAAAUCUACUUAUCCAAGUGAUUCACUUAUACUUGGCCAUAAAUCAGAUAAUCGUGCUAUGAGUGGCUUGCCACUCCUCAAGCAAUCCAUAAAAGUCCAAAAUACCAUCCUGAUGGAGACCUAAGACUUUCUGAAAACACUGAACUUCCUGAAAAUGCUGAACUGCCUGAUCACUGACUUCCUGAAACACUGAACUGCCUGGAAUACUAACUGCCUUAAAUGCUGAACUGCCUAAACACUAAACUGCCUGAAACACUGAACUGCUUGAACACUGAACUGCCUGAAACACUGAACUGCCUGAAACUCUGAACUGCCUGAACACUGAACUGGCUGAAACUUUGAACUUCCUGAAAUAGCAUGCUGCUACAUGGCUGCUUUCCUAUACCUCUCGAGACCUUCCUGGUCUCAAUUCCCUCGACAGUCAUCUGAAAUAUCGGAUUCCAUCCCAACUGCGGAGCCAAAGGACUCCCUAUUUUUUUUUCGCCUCACACGACUUCUGAACAAGAUCCUUCUCUGGAACUAGUUGCCACUAGUUAUCAUGUUACUGAGGCUUUAACAUCCUCUUGAUCCAACCGGUCGGGUCCGAGCGUCGAAACCUGAUGUUACCAAACCACGGCUAAACAUGACUGCUACAUGACCAAUUGUAGCCUUAUGUCAUAAAUGACCUUAAGUCGUCCACUGCUUCCUUGCUCUCAUAGCUGUAGUGGCACUUCUACAGUCUUAUCUCUGGCUUAACCAGAUCUAACCUGUCUGGGUAAAUUUCGAAAUCCAAUCAGUGGAUUUCCAUCUCCUCACUACCACACCCGAACUGGUGGGUACUACUGUCCUUCCCACGUCCUAACCAUGGACUCACGUGAUCUACUAACCUAGUGAAUGCUAUGGCUACACCCGCUGACUUACAACACUCUAAUACGAUCUGACUGCUAAUGAAUGCUACAGCUACACCCGCAGACUUACAACACUCUAAUACUAUAUGGCUGCUAGUGAAGGCUACGACUACACCCGCAAACUUACAACACUCUAAUACUAUCUGGCUGCUAGUGAAUGCUACGGCUACACCUGCAGACUUACAACACUCUCCCUGCUGACUCUAUCACUAACUACUAUUCCGAGGGCAGCCUGACUCACCCGAGUCCUGCUAGCGAUCCCCCAACCUGAUUUCCACAACCAGCCCUCAAUUAUCCAAGGCUACAACUAUCUGGUAGUUGAUAUUGCCAUAUUUAUACCUAUUUUUAGGCAAUAUUUAAGUACAUUUUUAUUAAUAAGUUGAUAAUAUGUUUAGAAUAAUGGUACUUAUGACUUUAAAUUGUUAUUUUCAAUCAAUUAAAAGUAUUUUCGAAGAGAGGGACCAAAAGUGACAAUAUGUAGAACAUGGGAGACUUGGAACACAAGAGAUGAAUAAAUCCACAAAAAUUACUGAACCCACGACGUGGCAAAGUCAGCCACGACGUGGCAUGAGAAUUCUAGAAGAUAAAGACCGCGUUAUGGAGGAAUCCUUGCCCGGUACGGAUAACUUGGAGCCCACGACGUGGCCUGGAUAGCCACGACGUGGCGCGAGAUUUUGGAGGCUAUUUAAGCAUUCUUGAUCAUUACGAAUGAGAAAAACUUUUUGACUGAAGAAAGGAGUUCCAGAAGGCGAUUUUUAGCGGAAGAAAGGUUCUGGAAAAAAGUUUUCAACACCAAAAAGAAUAAAGGUCUAUAUUUUAGUUAAUUAAGAACAUGUUUUCUAUCACUUCAAUUUGUGUUAGUUUGUUAGUUGCUAUGAUGAGCAGCUGAAUCUAGCUACUCUUGUUUAGCUAGAUGAAGCUUCUAACUUAUGAGUAGCUCAAUUUUUUAUGGAUUUAUUUAGUUGGUAAAAUUGCUUGUGUUUGAUUUGUAUAACCUAGCAUGCUUAUGUUUGUUUCUCUAAUUGCUUGAUUGCAUGUUCUGUGUAGCUUAGUGACCAUUAACUGCAUGAACUUGUUUACCUAAUGAUUUAGUGAACAUUGAAUUGUUAGAGCUAGGAUUGACCAAUCUUAGUUAGUAAUUAGAGUAAAUAAGCUUAGCUGUGCUAGAGAACGUGUAUUGUGACUAUAAUUGCGUUUUUAUAACAAAUAUGACAUAGCAUAUUUACAUUCAUAAUUAGUUCUAUGUUUAAUUGUGUGUGAACAUACAUGGUUUGACAUGAAGUAGUUAAAUUAUUGGUAAAGUUAGAACUAAAUUACUAAUACAAUUAAAACCAACUUGAUAAUCCAUAAUCAUUAGCUAGCCAUAAGAAAGGAGUGGAUUCAAACUAAACAAGAGUGUGUUUUUACUUAUUGAAUUUGAGUUAAGUUUGUCUGGUCUUGUAAAAUCAGAUAAAACUCCCUUUUAAACUUGUUAAUAAUUAGGUUAAUUUAAUAGUAAGUAAAUUAAUCAGUAACACCGUUCCUUGUGAUCGACACCUGACUUACCUAAGCUAUACUGUAAUCUGACUAGGUACACUGUUUAUAGGUGCAUAGUUAUUCUAAGUUUGUUAGGUUAUAAAUAUUAAAACUAGUGGGUACUUUUGUGCACAUCAGUAGUCUUACAUCCUUGCUACAUUUGCUUUCUGUCGAGAAAAUCUUUCGCUGGGUUUCCAAACCCAAUCGCCCACUAAUAUCAAUUACAUGAACUCAACGUUGGGAAGUUCCCACACUCCCAACUCUUGUACUUCUUUACCCACACGACCCCUCGGACUGCUUUCCCUUCCUUCUCAAAGAUUACUAGCCCUUUUUAAGUUUAUCAUACUACCGCCCCGAAUACUUGAAGGGUUCUCCCCCACUUUGAUAUGGCUAAUUCCUUUACAACUCAUAGCUCAAAAGGAUUUCCAAUCCUUCCUAUCAUCUAACGGUUCGAUCUGCUAUCAACCACAUUUACCUUUGUUGGCGCUCCAACUAACCCUUUACUAGACUUGAACCAAUCUUGUCGACUAAUCGAGCACCUUUAAUUCCCCGAUUGUUCCUGCUUCAGUGACUGCAUCCUGAUAACCUGCGAUUAAGGGGGGGGGGGACAUCUUCGAACUACUAUCCUAUCAUCCUCUGGUUACUCCACUGGGAACUCAAGCUUACCACUGUUGAAAAUAUAACUGAUCUAUAUACAACUAACACCUUCCUGAAAAUAGUGGGACACCACCGAGUCUCACUCACACUUUGCUACAAUUACUGCAUCCGAAGUGAUCUGUUUACGGGGAACGUCCUCUACUAUCAUUCUAGAUUCCAAGGUAUGUAGAUGGCAUAUGACUCAAUCCCAAAUAGGUAAUAUAAUAUUCCAAUAUAAGUACUUACUAAAUCGGUGCAGUAACAUAAAAACAACAUCAUAAAUCAUAAUUUACAGGAAGGUAAAAGAUACAUACCCCAACAUCCAUUGUUGCUUGAAUCCUUGUUGAAAUCAACCGGAAUACUCUGCUACGAGCCGUGGGCGUCCUUGCCCAACCCCGAUGUCUUCUGGCGGUUCUCGAAGUCCCAAGGGUAGAAGUUGGCACCUGCCCUGCUGUAUACAAACUCGGACAGUGGGCCUUCUUGUGGCCCCUCUGACUACAACGGAAACAUAUCAGAUCAAGCCCCCUGAGCAAUGGUGGUAGUAUAAUCUUUGCUGAAAUGACCAGUCUGGCCGCACUUGAAACAACCAGGAUCGCCACCUCUACUACUCUUACACGCUCCCCCGUGCGUCCUACCACACUUAUCGCAUCGACUGCGGCCCUGGAAGUCUCUCGAUCUCGAACUCGGCCCUUUGGUUCUUUUGCCCGAACCUGUUGGCCACUGAACCUCAUCUGGUUUCCUCUUCCUUUCUGACUCCCGGUAAAUCUCUCGCUCCUAUGCUACCGCGUCGCCCCCAUCAAUCUUCUGAACAACCGCUAUCUGAUCCUGAAGCAUCUCGGUCAACCUAUCAGUGACCCUCUUGACGAUGUCGGGUAGCUCCUUGCAAGCGACUCGUGAAACCUCCGUAACGACCAAAUCAUAUAGGGGACUCUCUUGGGGACAGGGUGCCCCACUCACUCACGAACCCUGAUGGCAAGAGCUAAAAAUAGGAUCCCCCUCCCUGAUGGAUCCCUGGGAUCCAUAAGAAUCGGGCUCUAGAUGAGCCCUAAAUUGCCCUGAAAUUAUCCCAGCCCUAAAGGCCUCAAGACGACUGUCCAAAAGCUCCAUGAUGGCCUCCUUAACUGAACCAAAUAUCACAGGAGUCUGAUCAAUGAUGUUGCGCAUAAUCUCUGCAGAAAUAACGUCUCUCAUCUGAUCAUCAAACUGUCCGGCUCUAGAGCCUGAGCCAGAUCCCUCCCCGGUACCUGAACUGCCAACUGAUAUCUCACGCAACGUCACCAUGCUGAAAACAUAUCCCAAUAACUGUCAGAAUACUCAUUGCUACCGAGGGAUCUCACACAUACUCCACCACUCCCUGGUUUCGUCUUGGCCCCUAUUGAAUCGAGUACGGAUGCUCUACUUUCGGUAGUAUGGGCCUAUACUACCUUCCACAUCUAUCCGUACUUUCCUCAAGAACUGCCUCGACUCCACCAAGUCCCUUCUACUACUACUACUGAUCUCUGUUACUCUCAUCCUCGGCUUACACUAGGGAAAUCUCAUACUCUACCCAAACCAGUCCUCAGCUGCUGCAGGUCUCCUUGUAAUGCCAAUUAGCCAUCACCUGAAUACCAUCACAUGUAGUGAGGCUCGGAUAAUCCUUCGAGUAAGGGACUCAUCCCUACAACGGUUAGACUCAAGCGAGAGCUGUGCAAUAUGGUCAAAUCCAAUACUCUAAGAUUAUUCAACCCUGAUUACAUGUGACUUGUCGUAUUCACCUAAUGGCUAACUCCCAUCACUCGGAUUCCCACAAAGCAUAAAGCAAGCAACAUUCAGACAUAGGAAACUACUCAAGCAAUUCUAUCCUCAUAUCAAGGAACUGUACUAGCAUACGAUGCUAAGCUCAUACUAUCAGGCAUAACCUAAACAGGCUAUCCUACUACUGUCUACUCAAUACUAACAUGCAAUUCUCAUAAAAAUGAAACACAUAUAUAGCAGACACAUAAGGCAUCAUCCAUAGAUCAUCAUUCCUAUUCUAGCAUGCUGUUCUACUGAAACUGAUAACCAUAACAUAAACUUGUAUGGGUAAUUUGGGAGUACUUACUUGAGCUCGGCUGAUCGCAUGCACCACACCCUUUUCUCCUUUUUAAGAAAACUCUUUUUCUUUCUAAUUUCUUUUUCAAAAAUUCUUUUCAAAAACGUUUCUCUCUUAAAAAUCUCUACCAUUUCCUUAGUUUGAGUUCAGACAUGCUCGAAAGCGUGCCCAAAUCCCUCAAACCAGGGCUCUGAUACCAACAUGUAGCGACCCAAAAUACGACCCAAAAUUUUUUGUUUUAAUAUUACUAAAAAUCGCAACAUCAACUAUUAGAUAAUAAAACCAUGAAUUGUAUGUCUCAAAAUGCCAUAGUAAAUGUAUCAAUUCAAAACUGAAGUUAAUAUCAUAUCAAAAUAUCAAUAAAACUCCCAGGAAUAAACUGCAACAUUGGUGUGUGCCAUGCCAUCAAUCUGAGCCCUUCCUUUUGCUUGCGGAAGUACCUGAAACCAAAACUGAAACUGUAAGCACAAAGCUUAGUGAGCUCCCCCAAACUACCACAUACCAUACAAUAACAUAUAAAGCACAUACUGGGCCUUGCCCACUACAUCAGACCAAAGUCCGGACUAACCGGGGCCUUGCCCCCUGCAUUGGACCGAAGUCUGGAAACUGCAUCGGGCCGAAGCCAGGACUAACUGUGGCCUUUCCCCCUGCAUCAGACCGAAGUCCGACUAACUGCAUCGGACUGAAGUCCGGACUAACUGGGGCCUUUCCCCCUGCAUCGGGUCGAAGUCCGGCUAACUGCAUCGGACCGAAGUCCGGACUAACUAGGGCCUUGCCCCCUGCAUCGGACCGAAGUCCUGCUAAUUGCAUCGGACCGAAGUCCGGAUUUACCGGCUGAACAUGGCAUAGUAUAAUCAUAACUACUAGCAUAAACACAUAUACUGCAUACUGCAUCGGACCGAAGUCCAGAACACAUAACACAAAAAUAUGCUUGAAUCACAAAGACGUCAAGCANNNNNNNNNNNNNNNNNNNNNNNNNNNNNNNNNNNNNNNNNNNNNNNNNNNNNNNNNNNNNNNNNNNNNNNNNNNNNNNNNNNNNNNNNNNNNNNNNNNNNNNNNNNNNNNNNNNNNNNNNNNNNNNNNNNNNNNNNNNNNNNNNNNNNNNNNNNNNNNNNNNNNNNNNNNNNNNNNNNNNNNNNNNNNNNNNNNNNNNNNNNNNNNNNNNNNNNNNNNNNNNNNNNNNNNNNNNNNNNNNNNNNNNNNNNUCCUGAUUGACCCUACUCGCCGAGUCAACCCGUCCACUCGUCGAGUUCUUAUACUCAGAAAACUCCCAUAACACGACUCAACUCGCCGAGUCACCCCAGGACUCAUCGAGUUGAACGAUUUCUGAAUUCCAUCUUAACCAACUCACUUAGUCGCCAACCGACUCACAGAUCCGAAGCUUAACGAAAAGAGGUUGGGGUUCUGCGACCUGACUCGCCGAGUCCAAGAACAGACUCGCCGAGUCCAAGGCAAUCUUCAACAGACUCACCGAGUUGUUCUUCCAACUCGUCGAGUUCCUGCCCAUCUUCAUACAACUCGCCAAGUCUACCCAUUUGACUCGCCGAGUCGCUUCAGAUCUUAAUCCAUACAAUGGCUUUUCGAGCCAUGCAGGGGCUCCAAAUUGUUGAUCCACUCUUCUAAGGCCCACCCUUCACGUAAAGUUGCAAACUUUACGUGAAACCAAGGAGCCAUAGGCUUAAAACACUAUAGGGCUAGGGUUUAAGACAAACAUGCUUCACCAACACACCAAGGGCUGAUACUUUACGGGUUUUUGGACCAAGACAAGCCUAGAUAUGAAGUAGCAACCUCAGAUCUGGACUUCUAACUUGAAAUGGCUCCUUAACAUGCCAAAAUGGCCCUAAAACAUCAUCCAAGAAAAGAUCUAGAAGCAACAAAGGGAAAGUGACAGAUUGUUACCUUCAAACUGAUUCUCACAACCAAAGAGUUGAAUCCUCCAGCUCCUUAGUGGUCAAAUCCUCCAAAUCUUUCUCUUGUAAAAUCCCCAAGCUCACUUUCCUCCUCCUCUUACUCAAAUUAGGGUUUGGAAUCACUUAAAAGAAGCUUCUGGCUGACAAGGGGGCUGAGGAGAGGACAUAAGGUCCUUGUAAAUAGGGUGCAAACCCUAAGAUUAAGGAUUUUCUCGUCCAGACCAGACUCGCCGAGUCGGUCACUUAUUCUAUAACUCGGAUCCAGCUUCGACUCGGCGAGUAAGUAUACCUACUCGUCGAGUCCCUUCUUCAAUCUAAAAUUUAAGCUCUUAACUCAAACUUCUGAAAUUUGGGAUGUUACAGUAAUAACUGUAACUUCUAUGUUUCCUCGAAAGAGUAUCUAACUCUAGGCCUUGUUGACUACAGACGAUGCUCAAUCUUGCAUUUGCUUUUCGUACUAUGUUGGACUUUUAAUCACAACCUACGAGUUAUGAAAUAAAUACUUAUUGAGUACUCCUUCUUCUUUUUAGGAUAAGUACUUUCCUUUAUCUAUUGUAACAGAUCGAUGGGUCAUGUUCUAAUGACCUCUCAUCGUAUGACGCAAAGCUUGGACUCAAGUCUCUUAGAGUCAAAUUCCAUAAUGGAAUAUACCUUCCUUCAUAUUCUAAUGUGAUAUAAUCACAUUUUAGCAUGUAGCAUUUCUAGCUACAAGCUUUCUUUAACAACGAGCGUGAUGCUAUUGAUUGCUUUGAUUUCAAUCUUCUGACUUAAGUCAGAUAUUACAUCGAACUUGGUUCUUUGAACCACGUAACAAACUCAUCGUAGUCGUACUCAUUUGAUAUGACCACUAGGGUUGGAAUAACAAUCAUCUCAUUAGUCAUUACCGAAACAAUGGUAACGACAUACUUGAAUAAAAGAGACCAAUCACUUGCUUCUUGGUAACCUUGUGACUUUCCCUGAUCCAAGCGUGAGUCCUGUGCUUCUAGUAGUAUAGAUCUCUACUACUAUUCACACUUACUCAUACUCGUCCCAAGUAUUGUCUCGCAGUCCCCAAGUCGUAAAAUCAACAAACAAUUUAACACAUACGAAUGUGUCCCAUUAAUCAUAAAAUUUUUCCUAGACUCUACUAGGACUUCUUCCGUGCGUAUCUUCUAUCAUCAAUCAUGCUUCAACUCGAUUGGUGAUGGAAAUUCUAGAUUAUGAGACAAAUUCAAGAAUUACACCAAUCGUUCCAUCAUCCUGCCAAUCGAAGGUGUACUUCAGAUGUACCGUACUACUCUAAACGUUCCGUUAUUUUAUCAGACAUAUUCUAAAGGCAAGAUACCACUCUNAUAUUCUAAAGCAAGAUACCACUCUUACGAUAUCUUCCGAUAGUUGUCAUUCACUAUCAUAAGCCUUUCAUUUCCUCCAUUUACUCAAUUCUCUACGACUCUUCUCCACAACGUUUUGUACAUCCAAGCAGACGUUCGGUGCAUCAGGCGAAAAUUUAAGAUAAGAAAGCUUUAUUUACGAUAGACGUAUAAAUCCCCUUAUCACUCCGAAACGUUUACAUGCUAGUUCUAAUACCGUAGUCGUACGCUUAGAAUCCUAAACACAUAAGGUUUCCAGAUCCGGUCGGCAAUAGACCAUAGAUCCGAACAAAUAAUAGCAUAUAUGACAAACAUAUAGCAUUUAGAUCAUAAAAGCAUUUUAGACAUCUUUCCUAAAAUAUACUAGUGCUCGUGUCUAAAAUAUGGUAGACACUCAAUCCCACAAUGUUAUAACACACACACACACACACACAUAUAUAUAUAUAUAUAUAUAAAUUUAGAAUUCNNNNNNNNNNNNNNNNNNNNNNNNNNNNNNNNNNNNNNNNNNNNNNUAUAUAUAACCAACUCUUACCCCACACCUUCAAUCCUCUCAACGAGACUAUCCAUACCCAUGGACCUCAAAUUCUAGCUCUUACUCCCGGAUCUAAUCCAUGUUCUCGAGUCCAUAAUUGUGCCUAUUCCAUACUCCCGGAUAAGGGACAAUUGGUCCAUGUCUAAAUCCAUACUCUCAGACUAAUGACAGAUUCUAUGUCAUGUCCAUACUCCCGGACUAAGGACAACUAACUAUGUCUUAAUCCAUACUCUCGGAUUAAUGACAAGUUACUAAGUCCAAUCCACACGCUCGGACUAGGGACAAAUAACUAUGUCUAAUCCAUGCUUCCGGAUCAAUGACAUAUUUUAAAGUUCUAUUCUCCGUAUAUAUCUCGGUCGUACUCAUAAAGAGAUACUACCCCAUAAUGAUUAUAACAAACCGUAGGAUUACUCUUUAACCUAAGCUAUCAUCAAAGAAAUCAGGUAUGUUCUUUAAAACAUAAUUCAGACAUCAUCAAAUAACUCACACAAAACAUAUAUUUAAUACAUUCAAACAAUAUUUGUAUUAAAAUCAUGUUCAUGAAAGGGACUAUGCACUCACAUGAUAAGACGAUGCUCGGACACCACUACGGCUCUUAAAAUAAUAAUCUUCGAUGAAAUCGGGAUAUCUUCCAAAAAUCGGGCUUCUUGUGGGCAGAUCUUUCGGCUCGACAACUCUAUUUCUCGGGAUCUUCGGGGCUUCGGGUGUCAAGAUGAUACCGGGGCUUCGGGACUUGCUUCGGGUGUCGGGAUGAUACCAUACCGGGGCUUCGGGGGUAUAACUUGCACGUAAAACGAGGCAAUAUGGAGUGAGAGGAAAGAAAUUGAGCAACCAAAUCGGCUGGACUCGACUUCUAUUUACAGGAGGGGUCUGGCCCUCGAACGCAGGGCGUUCCCUUUGAACGUGGCGCGUAAGAGCGGGGUUCCAGUCUUAUCUCUUAUCCGGUUGAGUCAGUAUCGACGUGGCCAAUUCGGGGCCAAGCUAUGAACGCGGGGCGUUCCCCAAUUGAACGUGGGGUGUUCCCCUUUGGGAUGUGUGCCUCGAACUUCAGAAAAUGAUAACUCUCGCAUACGAUCUCCAUUUUCGAUGUUCUUUAUAUCCACGCGUAGGUGAGACUAUGCUCUACAACUUUCAUUUAGACUUCGUUGGCUAAUUUUGAAUUUAUUUUUUAUUAUUAUAUUUUUAACAGGCCGAGACAGGAAAAGUCCGUUAAAAAAUCAUAACUCCUCCAUCCGACGUCCAAUUUCGUCUGUCUUUUUACCGUUGCACUACUGUUAACAAGAUCUUCGAUUCCCUUUUAGAUUGUUUCGGCUAGAAAUCACUCGAUCUCAUAUUCGAACUUUGGGCUACAUACCGCUAAGCCGAAACUUAGAAAAAUCAUAACUUGCUCAUACGAAGUUAGAUUUGGACGUUGUUUUUAUGCACGCUCUCAGUUUAACAUAUUAUACGACUUUCGUUUAGAUUGCUAAGGUUAAUUAUCGCUCUAUCGUAAAUUCACUAUUUAUGUCGCACAAUGUCAUGUCGGUUCUGUCGCGAAACUUCGACAGGUCAUAACUUCUUCGUUAUAACUCGAAUUUCAACGUUCUUUAUAAGUACGGAAUCCUUGUAACUUAUACUACAACUUAGUUAAGAUUAUUUCUUCAAAAUAAUCUUCCAUCAAAAGUCAUUUUUGAUGUUCAUUGUCUCUAAAUUGACUAGCCCUGAUCUAGUGCGUAAUGUCACCAUACUGAAAAUACACCAUAACAAACAUCAGUUUACUCAUCAUAAAUCGAGGGAUCUCACAUAUGACAAGGUUUCCUGGAUUUAUCUCAGCCUUCCUUGAUUCGAGUAUGGAUCCUCUGCUUUCAGUAGUAUGGGCCCAUACUACCUUCCACAUCUAUCCGUACUUUCCUCAAGAAAUGCCUUGACUUCACCAAGUCCCAUCUACUACUAAUGCUUCACGCACUACUCUCAACCUAGGCUUGCCCUAGGGUAAUCACCAUCCCACUCUCUGCCACCAGCUGCAUAAGAAGUCCCUGCUAUCUCCCCUAACUAGCUCACGAAUACCAUUACACAUCACUCAGACUAGAUAAUUCUUCGAAUGAGAGACCUACCCUACAACGGUUGGUACUCAAACAAGAGUUGCGAAAUAAAGCUAGAGCUAACCUUUUGAAAUUAUUUAGUCCUCGCAAUAUGUAAUUUAACAUAUUCAUUUACUAAUUAGUAAAAGACAACUAGAACUCCUAAAUGUUGGAUUAAUGUCUAAGUCCAUAACUAUUUUAGUAUGUACUUGACCCGAUGGUGCAUGGUCCUUUUGGGUUGCCUUCACCAAAGCAACUUGAUAGGAUGAAUUAUGGAGAGAAAGAAUUAAUUAUGAUUUAUUAAUAUAUUAUGAGAAUAAUAUAUUAAAGGAGAAAUCAUAUUGUUUAAUUAAUAUUAGUCAAGAAUUAAUAAGAAUUAAGUUUGUGACUAAAAGACAUUAAUUAAACUUAAGGGACUAGAACUGUCAAUUGUAUGAUAGUUGAAUAUUGAGCUAAUGGACUCCAUAUUAAAGGGGUGGACGGAUUCUAUGGGAAAACCUAUUAGAAAUCGUCCUAGGCCUUUAAGGAAGGAGUCCAUGGGUUGCUUAGGGCUUAAACAUCCAAAUUAGGGUUUCCUUGUUAGAUAACCCUAAUAGCCUCUCUAUUUAAAGGACCCUUAUGGCUCAAAAACGUGGUGAACUAUUUGUCUAGGGUUUCCACACAUUUUGGGCAACCUCCUUCUCUUCUCCUCUUCAUCCUCUUGCUCUUGGUGUUUGUGAACCAUUAGAGGAGUGACAUUUGUGACUCUAAGCUUUCUAAAGUCAAUACAAGAAGGAUUUGAGAUUGUUAUUGCUACAUAACAAUCAAGGUAUGAUCUAAACCCUAAUUUAUAUGUUAUAUUGAUUAUCAUAUACUAGAUCUAGGGUUUAUAGUCUUGGAUGAAUUGCAUGUACAAUAGAGAAACCUAGAUCCAAUCAUUAGGGUUUGUAUGAGCACAUAGGAUGUUUUUAUGGAUAAAACCCAUCAGUGGUAUCGGAGCCUUGAUUGGUUUCUAUUGUAUUGAUGCCUUGUAUGUUUGUUCAAGCUUUAAAAUCGAUUUUUAGCCCAUCUGCCUGAUGAACUCGGCGAGUAGGCCCCUACUCGGCGAGUCCAUAGGGGUACUCGGCGAGUUCGAGCGUCAGAAAGAGGGGAUUUCGGGAUUUCUUGCUGUUUUACUCAUGGAUACUUGCCUUAUCUGUUUUAGAUCAUUAAAAUCCGAUUUUAUACAUAUUUAUGAGUAUAUCCUUGAUUAAACAAAAGAUAAUCACCAAUUGAUUGGAUAAUAACUUCCUUAUAUGAUUAAAGUUGAUUAUUAUACAAUAUAUUAAAAUUGUCUACCUUAGCUACAAUAAAGUGGCUAAGGGAUUGACAUAAAUGGUCCCUCAAUUAUUAGUACAUAUACAUUAAAAAUGUCCCAAUGGUAAAGUUGCAAACCUUUUAGCAAUUUUCUGUUUAUGUUAUUGUGUUCGGUCUCUAUCAAAAGGGUUUCUUUUCAUUUUAGCCCCUGGGCUUUUUCUGUUUAUGGGUUUUGUCAAAUUUCGUCUCUGGUCAAAUAAUGUAUGCAUCCUGCUCACUAUAUGGUCAAUGGUGGUGGCUGGAGACGCUUACGCACAGGUACGUGCCACCGUUUUCUUCUCCAAUGAAAAGCUUACAGGUUAUCAUCUCCCUUUCUCUCUCUUUCUCCAUCAAAGGCCAUUAGCUAGCACCAGAUGAUGUUCCACCGGACCACAAGUACUACGUAUUCGUAUGAUCAUAUCUUCACUUCAGAACCGCCGAUCCAGACUGCUUCACGCACUCCGCCUACUACCGGUCGUGGCGUCUUAGAAUUGCAGUCUUUCUCCGUUUCAAACACUUUGAAGCACAACUGUGUUCAUGGAGGAAGCGGAGGAGAACGGAUGAUCGAUUUAAUUUUUAACUUCAUCUUUCGAUUCUUAGUAAAAUUGAGAAAAAUCCAAAUCGACAUGGAGGGUUUGAUUUUCUCGCUUCCUCCUCUAAUUUUUGGUAAAAUUAUGUCGCUUUUUUUGUUCUUUGUUCGCAUUUUUCUUUUAUGUUGGAACAAUCGAAGCUCCUCCGGUCCACAUGUAAUCUGUGAUCAUAAUCAUUACUCUAAACCUACAGCUAAUGUCUUAUUCGCUUCAAGGUUCUCUUCCCGAUUCUUCUCCGAUAAAGAUGAAUCAGGUAUAAAUAAGUUUAUAUCAGUUAUAAGUAAGCCUUCACCUUCAAAAUUUGAAAUAAUUUAUUGUAUGUAUAGGAGAUUAGGCUCUGUUUUGAAUUCAGAAUAUUUGUUGCAGUUAAGGAGUUGAAAUUCACUGAGAUAUGGGAGAGGUUUAAGCAAGAUUGCCUAGAGAAAGAUAACUGACUUUUAUAUCCAAGUGAAGCUUUGGUUUUAGCUUCUUGGCUGGAGGAAGAAAAGGAAGCAGGAAAAGGCAAAAUAGGUAAAGCAUUUAAUAUAAAACUUAUACAUCUAAUUAUCACUUUUCAUGUUAACAUAAAUCUUUUUUAGAUCUCAUGUUUUAAUGUAUAGAAUGAUUGUUUGCAGGUUCUUUCUGGCAUAUGAUCUUUACUAAACCGGAGGUGGUUUCAUGUAAUGUAAGUAUACAUCUAUAGUUGUUGACAAAUAAAAAACUCCUGAAACAUUCGUAGUAUAUAUCACUUAAACUACUAAAAUGAGUGUUUUUUGUAGAUGAUUUCAUUUCUUAAGAAUCCGAUAGACAAAUGCUUUUUGUCAGGUAGAUAAUGUGUAUUUUUUAUUAUUAUUUAUAUAUGAAUGAUUAAUUGCUGAGUUUAGGCAACAAGAUCAGCUUAAGGGAGCAAAAGUGCAUGAGAGCAAAUACACAACCCUUCCCAACGUACUAAAGUCAGUAAAUACAAACAAUUACUAAUUUCCUUUUUUGCUUAAUAACAAAUUUUACUAUAACUUUAUAAUUACUCCCUGAAUAACUAAAAAUAGCUAAAAAAGAAAUAGGACGAAAGUGUAUUCUAACGCUUGAUCAUUUUAUUAUUUGGAUCUUCAUUUUUUAUUUUUUGAACAUAUUAUAUUCAUUAGUAAUUUUUAAUGUUAAGAAAUGAAGAGAAAAUGCUAUAUUUGUUUGUAUUUUGGAUGCAAGGGUAUUUUAGUCAAAUGUAUAAUUGGGUGACAUUCAAUUUGUAUAUUGGUAAAAAAAUUUUGUAAAUUUGUCAAGUGGAUCAUAAAUGGUAUGGCAGUAAUUGGAUCUUUAAUUCUUUAUUAUUAGGAGGUGAUUAGGUGAUUUUUCGAGUAAAGGGCAAUUUGGUCAAAACUGAAAAAUACCGGACAUGAUAGAUAGAUAAUAUAUUGUAUAUAGACAACAUAUACAUUACAGCCUUAAUCUGGAUGAACAUGGUGUAAUCCAUACAAAUGUAGGCAAUGUACUUUUUUGAAGUAAUUAGAGGAAUGGAAUGUUGAAUAUGAAAGGAGAAUACAAACAUGGGAUUAGGCCAUUUUAUAUAUUUAUGUGAGUUUCUGUUAACUUUUCUUAUGUGAUUCAUUACUUACUUUACCAUGUGAUUGAAUUUGCAUGAGCAGAUUUGCGCUUGGAAUGGAAAGGACAUCAUCUUCAAGCAAACUAAAUAUUUGUUUCCAUAUAAUAUAAUACUGUCUCUUAGUGCGAAAUUGAUGGAAUGAAAAAGAUUUUCAUUAUUCUUGCAUUUUCCCCAAAAUUGAAUCGAAAGGUAUUCAUGAAUUUGUUAAUUAUAUUCCUAAUGCAACUAUAUAUUUUAUAUUAAUUUUAAUUGUGGAGUGAAUAAAACAAUUUGCAGCUUACCAACAUACUAUGCAUAUGUCAGCUUUCAAGGUCAUAUUUCUUCUUUUUUUAACUCUUCAAUUUUUUUUCUUUUUUAUUUAUUUUAAUUUUUCUUAAAUUUUAUAUACUAUUUUCUAACAAUAUGAUAAAGAAUUGAUUGAACAUUGUAAUCUCAUGUUUGUAUAAUUUCAGAAAGAUAACUUCCAACUACAACAGCCACAUCAGAAGAUUGGAUUAAACGGAUACAGGUGCUAUUUGGGCAAAAUCGGGAAAAAAAUUCGGCUAAGUUUCAGAUAUAUCCUUCUCAAAUAAUGCAUGCUCAAUGUAGAUACUACUAGAACAAAUUACUCUACCUCUACUACUUUUUUAUCGUAUAACAGUGGAGAUUAAACAGCUCCAAGGGCAAGAUGGUCAUUACAACAGGUCAAAAUCGAAUCAUAUGAGUGUUUUUGCAGUUUACUAUUAAUUUAUUAACGAUUUCUUAAGGUUUUUUUUUGUUUUUAGUUUUUGGAUACGGACAACCAUUGAAACAUAUAGUCGAAGGGAAAUCAUGCAUUAGUGCUCAGAUUACACACAUAUAUAUUGGCUCUGAAAUUAUAUUAAUGCAAAAAAUAGCAACAUACUUAUAUUUAUUUGUGUUCUAUGUCACCCUAUGUUCAUUACUUUCUAUUACAACAUUGUAUUGUUUAUUGUAGGGGCAAUUUGGUAUAAUGGGAUGCAUCAAGAAAUAGAUGUAGUUUAUGCUACAUUUGUGAGAUAGCAAUGUACUUUUGUCGUCAAAAAAUGGUCUAUAAAGCUUAAUAAGUUUCAUGAAAAUGAUUGUGAAACUUAUAAUAUUUUGCAUCAGUAACAAUAACCCUUCCGACCCAUGCGAAGCAUGGGCAACCUUACUAGUUUGUAUUAAUUGGGUAACUUAUUUUGCAAGAAAUUGAAAUUAGGUCAAAUAUAGAUAAUGAUAAAAUUAAUUGUUUAAUUUAUAUUAUUUGUUAUUUGAUCCUUGUGUUAUGAAAAGUUUCAAUUUUCCCCCUUUAGGUUUUAUAGUUUAAAUUUGAACUCAAAAGUUUUGUUUUUUAAUUUAAAUAGUUGAAACCCUAAUGUUUUGAAAAAGGUUUCAAAACUUGCCCUCAAGUUUUGGAAUUUAAAUUUUGAUUAAUAGUUUAAUUUUGAUGUAUAUUUAAAUUCUAAACCCUAAUGUUUUGAAAUGUUUCAAAACUUGCCCUCAAGUUUUGGAAUUUAAAAGUUGAUUAAAAGUUUAAUUAGGAAUGUUAAAUUCUAAAACCUAGUAUAGUUUUUGAAAAGUUCAUUUCACACCCUUAUGGUUUUAUUAAUUAUUUAAGGUGUAUAAUUAAAAGAGGUUUAAUAAAUCCAUAAAAGUUUUGGUUUACAAGUUAAUUGAAUUAAAAGUAUAAUUGUUAAAUUGGACCACCUAGUAUUUUAAAAGUGUAAAAUACACCUUAUACUAUAUAUAACAUUAAAAGUCUAACAUUAUAUAUAUGUAUGAGUAAAAGUCAGUCUUACCGUUAGUAGGCCUCAUUCACGAAGCUGGUCUAUAAGGGGUGUUUAAGGAAAUUGCCUAUAAAAUGGCGAUUGAAUGGGUAUCCACUCUUACCCACCGCACUCUUGACUAGUGGAGGGUCGUUAGCCGAACGGGUAGGAUAGGACGAAACCUUCCAUUAUAAGUAUAAUGAAGUAUAAAAGUAACUAAAUGUUUUCAUAAAAUUCCCAAUCUUAGUUACUUAGGCAAAAGUGAAUUGAUGCAAUUCCAUGAAAUUACACUUUGUGCCCUUGCGAAGACGUUAGUGGAGCGUGUGUGGUUUACCGGCACACUAAAUGGUUCUAAGCAAAGGUAGCAAAGGGUGACUCAAUGUUUGUCAUAGUUCGGUGGAGCGUGUGUGGUUUACCGGCACAUCGAAUAGGUGACUGUAACAUGUGAGGGCACCAUGUAAGUUUGCAUGGUUAUUCACACCCGCUUUGUGAUCCUCGGCAUCCCAGUCACAAACUAGAGGGGCAUAUCGAGAUUUAAACAUGCCAUUGAAAUGUUCAAUGAAUCUCAAAGGAUCUAGGAGUUUUCAUAGAUUUAAAACUUAAAUUUCUUUUUCGUUUUUCAUGGUGGAAAUUAGUGAAUCGUCAUUCACUUACCUUCAAAUGUUCUGCAAUUUGGGUUACGACAUCCCUCUCCCGAGUUGUAGAAUAUUGUGUUGGGUCCUAGCCUUAGUAUCUCAUUUGGGUGAUUUACUAAGGACUCAAUCAAUCAACUAACUUGAAUUCGUUUUCUCCCGUUUUGUAGAUGUCAAAGUUCGACAACUAUGGUCUUCCCAAAUCCCGUGGAACAAGCAUUCCACAUGAAGAUGAUAUUCCACGAUUCGAUCGAGGAACAAGAAAUCAUGCUUCACUUCCUCCACCUCCUCCAAUUAUUCUCCCUAACCCACAAGUUCAAAGGCUUGAAAAGUUCAAGAUCACUCAAGCCCUUUUGGCAAGUAAACAUAAAGAAGGAAAGUCGGUGUGUGCACACGUCCUAGGGAUGAAGUCACACAUUGAUAGGUUAAGAAUGUUGGGAUCCGUUGUCUGUGAGGAAAUGGCUGUUGAUUGGGUUCUUCAGUCACUUCCUAACUCAUAUAGUGAGUUCGUAAGAGAGUACUAUAUGAUGAACCGCGACGUGACCCUUAUAGAUCUCACCUAUAUGCUUAUUGCUGCUGAAUCAGCAAUGGUUUGGCGCAAUAGAAAAGCAAAGUUGAUUGGUGAAUCUGCCUUCAAGACCUCUAUGGAUAUAGACAAUGGCAACGAAAGACAUGCUAUGAUCGAAAAGUUUGAUCAUAAGAGAAAGGCAAUGUCUGAAGUAGUUCCAUGUCAUGUUCCAAAAGAGUCAAUUUGCUUUUAUUGCCAAGAGAAAGGGCAUUGGAGACGAAGCUGCCCCAUUUACCUAAGAGAUCUAAGAGAUGGGAGAGUCGAAACGUAUGGCUCUAAUAUAGGUAAAAUCCAUUAACUAACUCUUUUAAGCUUCUAUUCUAGAUUCUUAAUACAUAAUGUGAUAAGAUUACAAUUGAUGUUUUGUAGGAUCGAAGAAAAGAAAGGAAGCUUAAGGGAAGAAGUGAGCAGAAUCUAACCGUGAAGGAAUGGAUUUCGAUCGCAUUUCUCGAAGAUUAGAUUCUUGAGCUACUACUUAGAGUUAGAAUUAGAUUGCUAAGAAAGAUGUAUUAGCAUAGUUUUUCAAUGAAUUGCAUUGUAAGGACAAAUUUUUCCGCAAUAAAAUAAAUUUUGAUUUUAUAUUAUUUAUUUAUCCUUGCAAUGGCGUGUAUGAAAAAUUGAUGUUAAAAUGUUUCUAUUAUUAGCAAUAAUGGAUUUGGUUCUUAUUAUGUUAUUUAUGGAAAGUCGAGAAUUUACCAAAUAGGGAGAGUUUCUCAUCGCCCAAGUUUCAAUUGGACAGAAACUUGGAAUCAUGCAACUUGGUUGCACGAUGAAUGAGAAAUUUCAUAUUUGGAAAUUAGACUAAUUCAUUGACAAAGUGUCAAGUGAAGGACUAGGAGAUCGAGUACACAAAGUUGUGUGUUGAUCAAGUCCACCAUAAGAGUAACAAAGAUAUUCGUCAUGAUUUACUAAAGGUUUAGUAAAUAUGAUUAUACUUAUAAGAUUAAGUGUAAUUCUGAAUUGAUUGAAAGAGUUUAGAUCAAUAGCAGAACGAAUAAGAAGAAUCAAGUAGGCAGAAAGAUAAAAGUUUCUCCAUUCUAAGAAGAUGGGAGAGUAUCUAUUAUGCUUUAUGAUAGGUCUUAAUGAUUAAGAACCAUAUCUCAAUUGAUCCUCUAAGUGAGUCUUAGUACAAUUGUAUGUCUAAGAAGAGGAAUCAAGAAUUGAAGAAAUGGUUAAAUCAAGAAGUCAAUCAUACUUCGUUCCAAAACAAGUCUUAGAGUUAAGAUUGUGACAUUGAGUGACAAGUCUUAAGAAGGUUUAUAACAUUCAUCAAAUGUGGAAAGUUGUGAUGUCUUGGAUAAGACAAAGACCAACUAGGACCAAUUUUGUGAAGUGUUUUGUCUUGAUAAAAGCUACACUAACUCUUGAAUAUUUGUUUGUCAAGAAAUGUUUAUUGACAAGAGAAUCUUAUAUGUCAAGGAGUCAGUGGGAGUCUUAAUGGUCUUGAAAGGUUUCAAGAACAAAUCAAAUAAACCUUAUCGAUCAUCACUAGCACACGAGUUGAGGUUUACAACCUAUCGUGUUGACACUAUCUUGUUUCUGUGCCGUUCCAAUCGAGUUAAUUAUGCAUGUGAGUCCUAUGAGUUCUCAUUUGAACGCAUAAAAGGCAAACACCUUGAUCAAUGGAAAGUACAUUGAUAGGAAAGGGUGAGCUGCUUAACUAGUUGGAAGACAUGGUGGGAACUCGUGUUACCAUAAGGCAAGAAAUCAAGAUUGAGAAGAUUCGGUCCAUAUGAGUUUGGAUUUGUCGCAAACUUUGGUUUGACAAAUUCACAUGGAUAGGACCACAUACACCAUUAAAAUCUAAGUGUCAUAAGAUUCCCUCCUUCAUGAAAAUGACUGUGAGGAAAUGCUUUCACUAAUGAAUAUUUUAAGAAGAUAGUGAUUGUGAAAUUGUAUUCUCGGAUUUGAUUAUGGUUACAGUAUCCCUUUCCAUGAUUCGAAUUGUGAGAUUUGGCAAUUAGUCUGAAUUGUUUUUGGACACACAUAUGAGCUGUCUAAGACAAAGGUGUAUAAGUUCAAGAAGCCUUGAUAAAAGAUUAUCAAAGCAUUAGGUAUUAGAAACAUGAACUUAAGAAAUUCAAUAAGUAUUGUUUUUCUAGAAGUUAAGCUGGUUUCUGAAUACAUGUCAAUGCUAGUGGGAGCAUAAGUGUUAUGUUUAUAAUAAUCAUCAUAGUGGGAGCAUAAAUGUUAUGAUUAUAUGAUUAUUAAAGGCAAGUAUUGCAAGUUAGCAAUAUUAAUUAUAGAAAAACAAGAGUUAUACUUUGCAAAGUUUUAAGGGUUGAAUAGUUGUUUUGCUAUAAUUAAGGGAGAGAAUAUUAUGCUUCAUUUCAAAUCUAAAGGCUUAGGUUGCGGAAUGUUAAUAAAAUUUAGUCAAAGGUACAUAGUGUGUUCUUAAAAUUUCGAUUAUGAUUACGGCAUCCCUCUUCACAAUUCGAAUUUUGAGAACAUAGCAAAUAAAACAUUAUGCGUCGUGUCCCAUACGCUUCGGGUAUAGGAUCGAUUGCAAAUGCUUUAAUGUUUGACCAUUCUAAAAUUUUCCAAAUGUCGAGCGCAUUUAGAGGGAAAAAGGACAAGAAUCGGUUUUUGACUAAAAUAAUUAUACAACUAUCAAAGGACAAUCCAAAGUUCGUCGAUGAUUGAUCGCUUGUGAGUAGUAGGAAGUAUGAUAUUGGAUGGAUCAUAUCAACAUUAUUAUGAAUAGAUAAGAUUCUAUUGAGAAUGAGUUGUUGUGACAUCCCCAAAAUCUCAGCCAGAAAAGACCGAUUUUCAUUUAUGCUUUUAAAAUAAUUUCAGAGUAAAUCCUUUUGAUUUGAAAGAGUUGCGGAAUUUGUUCCCAAAAACAAAGUAUGAUAAAAUAAUAUUUACCAAAGCAUUUCAUAAAGAAAUGUAUUUUCAUUAUAUAAUCAAAACUCGGGAUGUCAUGUUCCGAUACAGACCAUAAAGCAUAAACGAUAACAUUACAAGUCAUUCAACAAAUAUAUACAUAUACAGACUUGUAAACAAAACAACUUGAUGGUUCAUCCAUCUUAUGCCAUUGCGCCACUUCCUGUAAUACAAAUAAAACUGAGUGGGUCAGGCUUGGGAGCCUGGUGAGCAUAUAGGGUUUUCAACCCACAAUAAAUAAUUAUAUUUAAUUUCCACCAACCAACAAUAACCCAAUUACCCAUUCCCGUUAUUCUCACUUUACGUCCCUAAGACAACUAACAUAAGGGACCUAGUCUAAGAAUAUUUCAUCGGGGCGACAACACAUGCUUCGGGGGUUCCUCAGCAAUAUAAGUCAAAUAAGGCAACCAUGAGGGGGAUGGAGUACAGCGAAUGAACACCCAAGUUCAUUAACACCUACAGGUGGCGAACCUGCUAACGUUUCCACAAGACUAUCUAGAAAAGUCCGUGGUCGUCAUCUAAACUCCGCUAGAUGACUAAAUCAAACAACAACGAGGCCUCUCAUCUGUUUAUUACACACCAACUAUCUACCCAUGUUCUACCCAACAUAUUAGUAGAUAAAAAUAUACAUUUUUAUACAUAGUUUAAAAACCUGUAUAGCAUGCUUUAAUCAAUACAUAUUCCACAUAUCAGAUGAGGCACACACACAUAACACGUAUUUCAUAGAAGACAAAUCAGAUCCAUGAGAUAGAAGAGAGUAAAUAUACAUUCACACAUAUAACACAAAAUAUACUCAUAACACGUAUUUCGUAUAAAAUACUUUAUAAUUAUGCGUUAGAAGAAAGUAACCACACACUCAUACAUAUAAACAACAAUAUACUUAAUACACUCAAACCAUACUUGUAUUAUUAUCGUGUUUAUGAAAGGUAGUAUACACUCACUUGAUCAGAAGAUGAUCAGACGGCACUACGACUUGUAGAAGUAGUAUCUCUCCGCAGAUCUGGAAGAUCUUCACAAAAAUUGAACUUCUCGCGGGCAGAGCUUCGGCUCGGAAAUCUUACUUCUCAGGAUCUUCAGGACCUCGGGACUUGCUUCGGGGCUCGGGAAUGAUACCGGUGCUUCGGAGUACUUCUGGCACGCAAAAUGAUGCAAAACGGGAGAGAUAAGAGAGAAAAAGUGCAAAUGAGCCGGCUGCCCUCGCAUCCUAUUUAUAGGAGGCUGGAGCCUCGGAGUACGCUGGGCAUACGCGUCCGAAUCGUCAUCGCAUGCGUCAUCCGAAGAACUUGAGUGCGAGGUGCGUCAUGCUUCGCGGUAUGUUGGCGUACUUCGGAUCAGAUCGGUGACUCCUUCGGAUAUACAUCCGAAUUAAAGAUUAAAUUUAAAUAUUAAUUAUUUAAUAAAUUUAGGAAAUUCAUAUCUUCUUCAUAUGAACCCCGUUUUCGACGUUCUUUAUAUCCACGCGUAGGUAAGACUACGCUCUACAACUUUCGUUUAGACUCCGUCGGCUAAUUUUGAAUUUAUUUUUAUUAAUUAUUUUUAGUAGGCCGGGACAGAAAACUUCGUUAUAAAUUCAUAACUUCUUCGUUUGACGUCCGUUCUCGCCUAACCUUUCAUUGAUUCGAUACCAACAACGAGAUCUUCGAUUCUCGUUUAGAUUGAUUCGACUAAAAACAGCUCGAUCUCAAAGCGAGUAUUUCGGGCUGCAUACCGCUAAGUCGAAACUUCAGAAAAUCAUAACUUCCUCAUACGAAGUCAGAUUUGGGCGUUCUUUAUAUAUUCGGAAACCUCGUUUCAACUACUACAAUGUUAUCCAAAGAUAUCAAGUUUAUUUUACACUUAAAUUUUGACGCUUAUUUUUAUUCUUAAUUAAUCAAACCACAUAAUUAAGCAAUUAAGCACAAAACACAUAAUACUCAAUUAAUAUACUUCUAUUAUUUCAAAACGGGUUACAAAGGUUAACCUAGACUGUUACAUCAACGAAAAUGCCUAGCCUGGAAACGCAGGCGUUACAGUUGUCAUAUGGUAAGUAUGGAAAAGUUUCCAUAUUGAGAAUUGGAUAUUGAGAAUCAAUGUCUAGAUUAGAAACUUUUAUGCAAAAGGAUGUUCAAAGGAAUGUACUUUGAGUGAGAGACAUCACAUCUAAGGAAUUGUCUUGUAACAAUCUUCGAUAGAGGACUUUGUAAUUUCAUUGGCAAUGGUCAUUAUAACUUUUGUGCUAUGACAUUACGAAAGGAUCAUUGCAUAAAAUGUUAGAAUCUAGCAUAUUCUAUAAGUGGCAAGAAUUUGAUAUUCUUUCACUUGUAGAAUGGGUUGGGAGUUGUGAAAUGAGUAUGAUUGGAAAUGUGUUCAUUUGAUCUAUUUCACAAAGUAAGAACCAUAGGUAAACAUUGUGUGCAUGCUAAGAGCAUGGGACAAGUGUUGUAAUUUAUGUAAGAAGUUGCUUACCCGAAACAACAAAUAAUGAGUAAUCGAUAUGGUGAUAAAUAAAAGGUGUUUUAUUUAUACUCAAAGGUUUGAGGCCAUAUGAGAUUAGUAUUAUUCUUGUGUUUCACUUUGCAUGUUUUGACUUCCUGAAUAAUUUAAUUGGUUCAGAACAGUCAAAUUAUUCAAACGGACAACAAUCGUUCAUAUGUUGGAAGUAGGUAUGAAUGAAGACUGUCGUGAAUUGGUGUGUGGAUUGUCUAAAGUGUAUUAGACAUAAGCAAAUGUUUGCUGCAACGUUCAUGAGUGCUUAUGAAUAUGAUUUGAGCAUUGGAUUAAACCCACGCUCACUUGGAUCACUUCAUGGAUUUUAUCACGAGUGAUUGGUGAGACGAUAACAUCUUAUAUUCUUGAAACCGAGAUGUGUGAGUUGUAUCUUGCGAGUCGGUUGCACAUUGAUAAUAUGUAAACGCACCAGUAACUUGGUGUUAUAAAACAUAUUGUUGUGUGUGAUUCGGUGAGUGAGUGCAAGUGAGCAUUGAAUCAAAGUUUAUCCGUUCCUUUUAUCCAAAGUAGGAUAAAAGCGAUAUCUUUGGGCCCCUCGAUGAUUUAGUGAUGACAAACGUAAAUGCUCGGCCGGGCUAGGGCUAAUUUGAUUUGUUCAAUUAGUCAGUCGUCAUAAAUCGGAAAUCGAGAUAUAGUACAAAGAGAAUGAUUUGAAAUCAUAUCUCAUAUGAUAUCUAGAAUGGAGGAAUAUAUGAUCCCUUAUCUAAGGACACGCGUAUCUGAUAGGAUCAGAGUUGACAGCGGCUUUGGAAAGCUACGAUUGCAGAUCAGGAUCUGAAGUCAUACGCAGAAUAGUUAUUAGACUUAUCCAAGUGGGAGACUGUUGGAUUAGUGUCUAAGUCCAUAACUAUUUUGGUAUGUACUUGACCCGAUGGUGCAUGGUCCUUUUGGGUUGCCUUCACCAAAGCAACUUGAUAGGAUGAAUUAUGGAGAGAAAGGAUUAAUUAUGAUUUAUUAAUAUAUUAUGAGAAUAAUAUAUUAAAGGAGAAAUCAUAUUGUUUAAUUAAUAUUAGUCAAGAAUUAAUAAGAAUUAAGUUUGUGACUAAAAGACAUUAAUUAAACUUAAGGGACUAGAACUGUCAAUUGUAUGAUAGUUGAAUAUUGAGCUAAUGGACUCCAUAUUAAAGGGUUGGACGAAUUCUAUGGGAAAACCCAUUAGAAAUCGUCCUAGGCCUUUAAGGAAGGAGUCCAUGGGUUGCUUAGGGCUUAAGCAUCCAAAUUAGGGUUUCCUUGUUAGAUAACCCUAAUAGCCUCUCUAUUUAAAGGACCCUUAUGGCUCAAAAACGUGGUGAACUGGUUGUCUAGGGUUUCCACACAUUUUGGGCAGCCUCCUUCUCUUCUCCUCUUCAUCCUCUUGCUCUUGGUGUUUGUGAACCAUUAGAGGAGUGACAUUUGUGACUCUAAGCUUUCUAAAGUCAAUACAAGAAGGAUUUGAGAUUGUUAUUGCUACAUAACAAUCAAGGUAUGAUCUAAACCCUAAUUUAUAUGUUAUAUUGAUUAUCAUAUACUAGAUCUAGGGUUUAUAGUCUUGGAUGAAUUGCAUGUACAAUAGAGAAAUCUAGAUCCAAGCAUUAGGGUUUCUAUGAGCACAUAGGAUGUUCUUAUGGCUAAAACCCAUCACUAAAAGCACAAAGCACGCAACAUUCGAGCAUUGAGAAAACAUAAUCAAGCAUAUAUUAAUCAAGCCAUCAUAUUGACUAAUCUAUACUGGCAUGCAGUUCAUAAAGCUGAUACACAUAUAACAAACACAUAAGGCAUCCUUCCUAGAUCCUUAGUCCUAAUCUGGCAUGCACUUCUCAUAAAACUGAUACACAUAACAUAAAAUUGUAUGGGUAAUUUGGGAGUAUUUACUUGAGCUCGGCUGAUGGCGUGCACCACAUCCUUUCCUCUUUUCAAAGUUCUUUUUCUUUUUUCAAAAUUCUUUUUAUAAAAAUGAUUUUCUUUUAAAAAUUUUCGUACCAAGUCCUCAGUUUGAGUCCAGACACACCUGAGAGUGCAACCGAAUCCAUCAAACCAAGGCUCUGAUACCAACUUGAAAUAUCCCAAAAAUACGGUCCAAAAGUUUCGUUUUGAUUAUUUAUAAAAACCAUAAAUACCACUUGUCAUUUCACAAAACCACAAGUAAUAUAUGUCAAAUCAUCAUAGUAAAAUACUGUCUCAAAAUCAUGUGUCAAAUAUCAGAGUGUAAACAUCCCAUGCUAAAAGUUGUGGUGUGUGCCAUGUAGUCAUCCCGAGCUCUUUCCGUUGCUAGCGGAAGUACCUGAAACCAAAACUGAAAACUGUAAGCACGAAGCUUAGUGAGUCUCCCCAAACUACCAUAUACCAUACACAUAAUCACAUAAUAACAUACAUUGGGCCUUGCCCAUUACAUCGGGCUCCGCCCGAUAUCGGCUCCGCUGACAUUGGUCCCCGCUCGGCAUCGGACCGAAGUCCGGUAACAUAUAACUAAAUCGGGGUAACCCCGACAAUGCUAACAUACAUAAAUGGGACGACGUUGGUGCCUUAGACCCGUUCCUACUGGAAGAGGACUCACCUCACAAAGCUGAAAACUGAAUCUCUCGGUAAGGAAUCUCUAACGGUUGCUUCCCCAACUCCCCGACUAUCAUUAUCACAAUGAAUAAUUAGUCAAAAUCCAAUAAUCCUUCUUAGGGUAAAAUAACCAUUUACCCCUAAUCUAGUUUGGUCCAUCUCUAACGGUUCCUUAUCCUUUUGUCCUCACGUCGUGAGCUUCCUCGUCUCACGUCGUGAGAGUCAACUCGGCUUGUGUCGACACAGCAAGUCAACCUGGUUUACUCGUCUCAGGGUCUCAGAAUGGAGACAUUGUCUUGCUCACGUAAUGAGGCUAUACCCCUCACGUCGUGAGAACUGUUCUGUGAGCAUUAAGAUCUUAAUCCUUUAAGACGAGCGUUGGGACUUUCUAGAAUACCUUAUCUAGUCUAAAAGACCAUAAAAAUCAUAUCUUUUCAUCCAUGCAUGCCCAAUGCAUGAUUUAGUCAUUAGUUAGGUCAAAAUUUGAUAUAAUCAUAAAGAUUCAAGCUUGGGGGCCAUAACUUGCACCUAAGUCCAGAUCCAGGGGUUCUAAUACAGCAAAUGACUUAAUGGUUCAUAAAGUUGCUAACUUUAUGAAGCUCAUGCUUGAUAAGCCAAGAUAUCAUGCAAAGAAGGUAGCCAAAACCUAGAUCUAGCAACCUUAAGUGAAAAGGUAACUAGUCCCCAAAUAUGCGCUUAUCUUGCCAAAAUGAGUCACCACAAGAGCUUCUUCUUCUUCAAAUAAAACAAAACACCAUUAACACCAAGACCUCCAACAAUGGCUCAAGGGGCUCAAAAGGAUCAAAUUUAGGGUUUUCAGUGACUUGAGAGUGAAAGAGGCUGAGGAUGGGCGACCCUAGCCUCCUCAUUAUGUUUUAUACCUGAUUUUUAAGGUUUGGGGGAAUCAGGUCUGACUUACAUCGUGAGAACUAGUGCCCCACGUCGUGAGGUUCGAGGACGCAUGUAACACCCGAUUCCUGGCACGCCUUUAAUUCAAGUAUUUAUUAUGUUUUUCUCUGGGACUCGACGUGUUAGAGGCCCAACUCGUCGAGUAGAGUCGUGAUCCACGGGAAGCUUAAGUAGUUUACUCGACGAGUCGGGAGACCGACUCGGCGAGUAGACGCUGUUUGGUGAAACCCUAAAUUGAGGGUUUGCACCCUAUUUAAACACAUUAUAACCCCUCAAAUCAGCCCCCAUCAUCCAGAGCAAAACCUAACUCGAAACCCUAGUCGUUUUUAGUGUGUUCUUGAGCCUUGUGGUGUUACUUUGUGUGAUUGAAGCUUAAAGAAGAGUAAGAGGCUUGUGAGAUCAAGGGGGAACAAGAAGAUCCAGAGUUUUGAGAAUAUUUCCAGCUUAUUAAAUGUUUAAAGUUGAAACCUUGUCUAUUCAUCGUCUAGAUCUUGAUUUUGGGCCUUUUUCUACAUUUUCUUAAGCCCUAGAGAGGUUGUAUUCCGGAUUCAAUAUUGGUGGACGAGUCAGCAGUUGUACCCUUGGAGGAUAUUCAAGUUGAUAGCAACCUAAAUUAUAUCGAGAGACCAGUUGCGAUCUUAGAUCGGAAGACGAAGACCUUGAGGAACAAGGUGUUUCAGUUAGUGAAGGUGCAGUGGCAACACCGAAAAGGUUCAGAGUGGACGUGGGAGACUGAGGAGGAGAUGAGGGAGCAUUAUCUAGAGUUAUUCUCAGAUUCAGCAGCAGCAGACUUCGAGGGCGAAGUCUAAGAUAAGUGGGGGAGAAUUGUAACGCCCCAUUUCUGGUAUGUGAUUUAAAUAAUGUAAUUUUCAUUUCUAGAGGGGUACUCGACGAGUCUGUAGCCUAACUCGUCGAGUAGAGACGGGUUCUGCACGCGUUUUAAGCUGGCUACUCGACGAGUCCAUAUUCUUGGACUCGGCGAGUCUGCCAGUGUGGAUGAAACCCUAAUUUCAAGGGUUUGCACCCUAUUUAAACAUUAUUUUGCGCCCCAAACCAGCCUCCAUCACCCUCAGAACGUCCCUUACUAAACCCUAGCCUUCCUUUAAGAAUUCUUGGAGUAUUUCUCAUUUUGUGGAGGAUUUUGGUGCAUUUUGAAGUUAGAAGAAGAAGAGAGAAGAGGGGUUCUCAAGAGAAGCAAAGAAGAUAUGAGUUUAUUGUGUCAUUCCAGCUUCCAUUAAGGUAUAAAGCUCGAAUCUUGGCUUGUCAUCAUGUAGAUCUCCUUAAAGCUUGCUAGUGUGGUUUUUGAGCCUUUUCUAGAUUUUGAGGUCGAUUUAUGGGUAGUUAAGGCGAAUGGGUUUCAGAUCUAAGCAUUUCAGGACUUCUUAAGCUCAAGUUUGCCACCUUUAUUGAGCUAAGCACCCAUUCCAAACCUAGAUCUCCUCUUUUAGCUCCUUAUUGGGCAUUUUAGCUUAUUAUGAGCAUGCAUGAACGUAAAGUUAGAAGCUUUACGUGUGAAAUCAGUCCUAGGAACCCAAAUCUAUGAAUUGGAUGCAUUGGAAUCGAGAAAAAUCGACUGUAUAGUAAUGGCAUGCUUGGGACUCGGCGAGUUGUUCUUCAGACUCGGCGAGUCGAGUCGCGAGUCCUCGGUUUUUCCCCGAUUUGAGAGUUUAGGGUGAAUCAGUGAGUCGAGUAAGGACUCAGUGAGUUAAGACUUGGAUCUGGAAGCAGUCGGACUCGACGAGUUGUUCAUACGACUCGGCGAGUCAAAGACUGGGUGUGUUCUUCUGUUGAAAGGGAACUCGACGAAUUGUUCAUACAACUCAGCGAGUCGGAUGAAGAUUAGACUUGAUGUUAGUAUCGAAGAAGAACCCGUAGAGUCUUUGCCAAACUCGACGAGUAGAAGCGAGUAAAGGAUUAGAAUGGAUGAUGGGGACUCGGCGAGUUGGCGGUCCAACUCGGUGAGUCUGGUCAGUUGAAAGUUGACUUUGACCUGGAAGUUGACUUGUCCAUGGGUAAAUAGUCAUUUUACCCUGAGAUUAGUUAUCAGUAUUUGAUUUAGUGUUUAUGGAAUUUAUAGUCGGUGAGUUUCGGAGCAGCAGUCAGACAGUUUCAGAUCUAGCAUCUCAACAGCCAACAUUGCGAGGUGAGUUUUCCUUCCAGUAGGAACGGGUCUACAGCCACAAUGUCGGCCCGUCUAGUUAGCAGUAGUACCGGACUUUGGUAUGAGGCAGUAGUUCAGUGUGCUUGACGUCUUUGUGAUUCAAGCAUGUCCUUGUGUUAUGUCUUCCGGACUUCGGUCUGAUGCAAUAUGCAGUAUGUGUAUUCAUGUUAGUUGAUAUGUUUAUGCUAUGCUAUGUUCAAUAAGUUUCCGGACUUCGGUCCGAUGCAGUUAGUUCCGGACUUUGGUAUGAUGCAGGGGACGGGGUCCCAGUCAGUUCCGGACUUCGGUCCGAUGCAGUUUCUGUACUUCGGUCCUAUGCAGAGGGAAAGGCCUUGGUUUGUUCCGGACUUCAGUCAGAUGCAGUUUUCGGACUUCGGUUUGAUUUAGUGGGCAAGGCCCAAUAGUUGUUUAUAUGUUAUUAUAUGGUAUGUGGUAGUUUGGGGGAGCUCACUAAGCUUCGUGCUUACAGUUUUCAGUUUUGGUUUCAGGUACUUCCACUAGUAAAGGGAAGAGCUUGGGUUGAUGGCAUCGCACACACCACAACUUCAGUUUUAUCCUGGGAGUUUUAUUCAUAUAUUUUGAUAUGAUUGAUACAGUUUUGUUUUGACACAGUUACUAUGACUUUUGAGUUACUCAUUCCAUGGUUCGUAUUAUAUAUGACAUUCUAUGAUGUGAUUUUUAGUAAUAUUAAAACAAAAAAUUUUGGGUCGUAUUUUUGGGAUGUUACACGACGAGUCAUAAACUGGACGCAUUCAUAUGCUGAAGAUGAACUCGACGAGUUCAAGGAAGAACUUGCCGAGUCGGAUGAAGAUUAACUGAAGUGUUGUUGAAGGUGAAAUCGUCGAGCUCUUGCUAGACUCGACUAGUGGGGACGGGUUUGUAGUAUUAUGUGGACGAAGGGACUCGACAAAUUGGCAGACCAACUCGGCGAAUCUGGUCAACGAAAGAGUUGACUUGACCAAGGUUUGACUUUGACUUUGACUUGGAUUCAAUUUGACCCUUGAAGGGGUUGUGGGUACAAAUUGAUAACUUAGAAGGGUUGUCGUGUAGGGAUUGAGGAGUCGAGGAGAGCCGAGUUUCACACCGAGGAUAGUGCAGAAGCUACACGACUUCGAUGUGAGUUACCUUCCAGUAGGGGUGGGUCUAAGGCCAUAAUGUCGGUCCACCAACAAGAGUAAUUGGUAGAUAAUUGUCUUUGUGAUAAUUAUCUUGUUAUGCUUACGAGAUAUGCUUAUGUGAUAUGCCUAUGAGAUAUGCUUAUGAGAUAUGCUAUGUGAGUUAGUGGUAGUAGCAUGUAAUAGUUUUUCCCUGAGUUGGUCGUUAGGACCGAAGGGUAGGUCAGUACCCCAGAUAUGCCUGACCGUAUGAUUAUAUUUUGUUAUUAUAUGAUAGAGGUAGGGGGUGUCGGGGUGAAAUAGUCCCCGAUGCCGGUUGAGAUAGACCGGAGGGUAGUCGGCACCCCAUAACGGCCUGACAUGGGUAGGUCAGCACCCCAUAAUGGCUUGACAUGGGUAGGUCAGCACCCCAGAAUGGCUUGACAUGGGUAGGUCGGGCACCCCAGAAAUUUCCGGCAGUAUGCAUGCUAUGUGAUUGUAUGGUAUGUGGUAUGAUGGGGGAACUUACUAAGCUUUGUGCUUACAGUUUCAGUUUUGGUUUCAGGUACCUCUUCGACUAAGGGGAAGGAGUCGGCGGUGUAGCAGCGCGUCACACACACAUAUGUUUUCCACAUUAAGUUUCUGGAAUUGUACUAUGAUUUAUUUUACUUAUGUUGAGAUGGUUUCCGAACACGUUGUUAUAGUUUUUAUAAAAUGACAUGACUUUGGUAAUGUUUUGGUAAACUAUGUUGCGAAGUAUUUAUUUAAAAAUGAAAUUUUUGGCCUCAAAAUUUGGGAUGUUACAAGUUGGUAUCAGAGCCUUGGUUUGAGGGAUUCGGACAUACUCUCGAGGGUGUCUGAACUCAAAUCGAGGGAUUGAAAUUUUUUUACAAGGAAAUAGUUUUUCUAAAAUCUAAAUUAAAGAGUUUUGAGAAAGAACGAGGUGUAUGAUACGUGCGACCGGCCGAGCUCAAGUAAGUUUUCCCUAAGAUACCCAUACUUGUUAUGUGUUUAUGAGAACUGCAUGCUAGAUUAGGGCUAAGGAUCUAUGAGGAUGCCUUGUAUGCCUGCUAUGUGUUUAUGAGAAAUGCAUGCUAGAUUAGGGCUAAGGAUCUAGGAGGAUGCCUUAUAUGCCUGUUAUGUGUUUAUGAGAACUGCAUGCUAGAUUAGGGCUAAGGAUCUAGGAAGGAUGCACUGUAUGCCUGCUAUAGGAGCUCAUUGAACUGUAUGUUAGAGCUGGUAGUUAGAAGUGAGAUAGUCUGAUUAGGUUAUGCUCGAUUUGGUUACUCAAUGCACGAAUGCUGCUUGGUUUGUACUAAAGGGUUUCUGGCUUACUUUAACUAACUAGUAAGUGAAUAUGUAACAGUAUUCACGAGCUAGUUAGGAAAAGGGGGUAGAGACCCCUAGUGCAGCUGAUGGCGGAGAGUAGGUCGGAGGGUGCCAUAGGAAAGCCUAGGAUGAGAUUAGUUGGAAAGGGAUAUUGGUAAGGGGACUUGGUGAAGUUGAGGCAAUCCUUGAGGAAAGUACGGAUAGAUGUGGAAGGUAGUAUGGGCCCGUACUACUAAAAGCAGAGGAUCCAUACUCGAGUCAUGGAGGGUCGAGAUGGAACCAGGAAACCGGGAGAGUGUGUGAGACCUCUCAAAAGUAUGUAUGAUCCUGACAUAUACGUGUUUAUUUUCAGUAUGGUGGUCACACGACAUGGAGCAGGAGGUUCAGGAUCUGGAUCGGGAUCAGGAUCAGGCUCGGGUGCAGCUUUCGAGCAGGUCGAUGACGGGUUACGUGAUUUCAUUGCGUCUGAGAUCACGAGAGGUAUCCUUGAGGUGACCCUGGUUGUUUUCGGGUCGAUCAAGGAAGUGAUUGUUGAGCUGAUGGAGGAUCGCCUCCGAGCAUUCAGGAGUGACUUGGCGUCCAACCAGUCGGGUACGUGCACACUGUCCUUUAAGGACUUUCGAGGGAGUGGUGCGCCAGACUUUCAUGGGACGAAGGACCCCAUUGCAUCCAGGAUAUGGAUUACGAACAUCGAGUCUGCACAGUUCACGAGCUUUUGCCCGAAGGGGUCGAUUUGGAGUGUAAAUAAUCUUCUCUCAAGUUAUUCCAAUUGUUGGUGGUGUUGUGUGAACCAUUUGAGGUGCAACACUUGGGGAACUAAGCUCUUUAAGGUCCAAGGAAUCAAGCUACAACAAAAGUUAUGUCAUUCAACUAUAUUUCAUAUUGUAUAUACUCCAUAAUAUGCUAGUUAGGAUGAUACCUUGGAAAAUUGAUAUUUGCGUGUAUAAUAGAGAAAACAUAUAUCAUAUGUAUUUAGGGUUGCAUGUACACCUUAGGAGUGUUAGAAUGCUCAAAACCCAACACUUUCAUCUUUGGAGGGGCUUAAAUGUAACUUUCUUCAAAAACAUUAAAACGAAAAUGAGACCAUUAAUUGGUUUGACCAGAUUUUUCAAAUUUUGACUAACAUAAACAUCGCAUGUACUUCUCGAUUAUAUUUAAUUAAAACACAUACAUAUCAAUUUUGUAUCAUUAUCAAAGCAUCAAACCCAUUUCGACUCCCAUUAAAACUACAAUUUCAAACAAACAAUAACUCCAUCACCAUUGAGAUAAAAUCGAUUACACAUACAAACAGACUCAUCCUGAUCAAUCUGACACAGUGUUGCAGCUCUGAUGGAGAGAUCAUACCGUUUCCAUAUCUAUCGAAGUGAUUGAAUACACAUUGGUAAUAACUUGAACCCGUCAUUAUAUUGGAGUUAUUGUGAGUGGUUAUGUGAUUUGAGUUGGACCGAUUAAGAAAAUAAACAAGUAAUUGAUGAUUCUGAGGAUCGAUAUUCUAGGGUGAAUUUGGUAUGAGUUAUAUAGAUACCUAUUAUACAUGGUGCUAGAAAUUUUGAAUGAAUGUGAAAUUUGAAUAUGAUGUUGAAACGAUAUGAAAUCGUUUUUCGUAAAAUUUCAACCAGUUUCUCCAUGGAUUUGAUGUCUUGGGAUGAAAUCAAUUUCUGGGUAAAAUUUCAACCUGGUUCUCCAUUGAAAGUCAAUCAGAAGAAGCUCUACCUCUUCCUCAAAAUUUGUUCAAGAUCGAAUUCAACGAAAUUGUUUCCAUCGAAACUCAAAUUUGAUCAUCACUCUGAUUUCGAAAUCCUCCAUUGAUUCACCAACGAAAUCGGAUAACUAUUCACGUUCCAAUAAUAUCGUCAACAUUGGAAACAACUUCAAACCAUCUACGCUAAAAAAACGAAACUCAGCUACGCAACUAAAUCAACAAUCAUUUCCUAAACAUCUACACCACAAAAGAUUUUCAGAUCAAACAGAACAUUUACAGAAUCAUUAUUGACACAAGGGUAGAACCGAAAAUAGGAAGGGUUUUAAAGUUGUUGCAAAGGUGAAAGGACAAAAAUGCCCUCGCUGUGGGGGUUGCUAACAACUAAACAAACGAAGAAGUUAAUAGAGGGACUAGACGGGUAACAAAUUAAAGCUUCAGGGAUGAUCCGAGUUAAAAAAAAAUUUAGGGACUAAGUGUGAAAAUAACCCAAACCACAUGGACCAUCCAUGUAAUUUAAAACCAUGGUUAAAAUCGUCAUUACAAAAAAAAUUACAGUAAAUUGGACCAAAAUGGCAAGAAAAUGAAAACCUUUGGACCAUGAGUACUAAUCCAAACUAUUUUGGCCAAAGUGGUAAUUUCCACCUAAGCUACAUGACAAAAACUGUUUUAAAGAGUAAAAUGUAUAAAUUCGUAUAAAUUAGUAGAUUUGGGGUCCUAAAAAAUUUAAUAUCUCUGUAUAAAGAUCUAAUAUAAUAUGUAUCUUGCAUGGAUUAAACAAACUUUCACCAUCUAAUCCCAUACCAACAAAUUAAUCAUUGAAAUUACAUCCCAAUUCACCACAAAAUUAAAAUCAAUUCAUUACAAUAAUCAUUAUUAAGAUUUAAGAUAAAAUAAAGUUCACACAUACUUACCUGAUUGAAAUACCAAAAGUUUUAAUCUUGUAUUCUUCAGUGCCAAAAAAGCACCCUGAUUGAAAUAGAAGCAAUGGUAAUUAAAAAACCUUAAACUUAUGGUAUAAAUAAUAAAAUAAAGUGAUUAUUAUUUUUUAAAAAGAAUAAUAUAUUUACACCAACACCAAAAGCUGAAUCAGUUGUUUUAUUAUUCUGAAAUGUAGCUGGGAUGCUUUCCAGCAACAAAUCUAGAUGCUGACGACACUGUGAUCAUAUAAUUACACUUAAUUUUUUUGUUAUAAGUUAUUGAAAAUAAAUAAAAAAAAAUAAAAUAUUAAAAUUUGAUCACCUCAGAAAGUUGAACGAUAACAUCAGAAAGAAGAGGAGUGUAAACAUCUUGUAUGUCUUAAACUAAGAAUAUCAAUGGUUACAAAUAAAAAAAAUGAAAAAACAACUUGAAUUAAUAAUUCAUUUUGAAAGUUUGAAACAAUUUUUUAAAAAAUAACCUGAUGCAAUGCACGUUUCAGAUUAAACAUAGUUGUUUUUUCAUUUUUUUAUUUGUAACCAUUGAUAUUCUUAGUUUAAAACAUACAAGAUGUUUACACUCCUCUUCUUUCUGAUGUUAAUAAUUCAUUUUGAAAGUUUAAAACAAUUUUUUAAAAAAUAACCUGAUGCAAUGCACGUUUCAGAUUAAACAUACUCAAAUUUUAGGUUUUUUUUAGUAAAUCUUUUUUCUGUGCUCCAUAGUAGACUCUAAGAAAUAAAAUACACGGGCUGUUAAAUAAGGCCCCGUUUGAUACACAUCUUUCCAGGUCCAAACAGAUCUUUCUGGCUGAAUGGACCGGAAAGACUGUUUGAUUUGCACAAAAGAAGGGGUCUUUCCCGAUAAGAUAUGUCUUUCCCAGAAAGCCCCAAAAUCAUAUCUUUCUGGUUGAAUGGACUGAAAAGACAAUUAUACACCAAACCCCGCAUCUUUCUUUCUUUAUUGGAUUAUUAAUUUUUUUAAAUAACUUUUUUAAAUUUAUUUUUUUUAUUGAAUUAUUACUUUUUUUCAUCAUUCAGCACAGUCAAUCAGAUGUAGAAUCAAACAAUAUGGUUUCUUUCCCAGUUAGAAAACUUUCUCAGAUAGCACUUUACCGGACAACACUUUCCCAGACAGAAACUAUCAAGUAGGACGUAAAUUGUCAUUGGGCUUCAAGUUGAUUGUGAAAUGGUCACAAUAUGAUAUGAGAUCCUCUAAAAAUGGGAAAAUGUGUUUUUAUAAUUAACGACAACUACUUCACUACGUUACCAAAUUUUUGCCGCUUUUUGUCAAUAUUUUGGUCAGUUAUGUAUUUUAAAUUUUAUGGCACCUUCGACGGUUGUUGCAAAACUUCUUAUUGGGCAGCAAAAAAGAGACGAAUGCAAGAAGUAACUAUAUUGAAAGGAUAUAUGUUUUUCCAUUUCUUUAAAAAUUAUGAUAUAAUGCUUUUAUGGUUAUACUUGCCAACUUUUACUUGGCCAAAAUGCCUUCUUAUUCCUAAAAUGUCCUUUUUACCUUCCUAUAAGUGGCCUAAAAUAUUUUUUGACCAUAAAAACUAUACUUUUAAGUUACAAAGGAAUGUCAAUAAAUAAACAUAGAAGAGUUAGAAUAAAAGUUAAUUCUCACCUAGUUGAUACAUAUAUUCAUGCUGGUCCUAAUCGACCUUUUGCAGGAUUGAUUAUCUCUGUUGUCCUUCUUGAUCUGCAUUUAUUUACAAAGUCAGAAAAAAAAUAUUUUAUACUUAAAAGAUUGUAAUCUGAUGACCAAAUGACAGUGAAACAGAUGAAUAUUAUCAUAUUUCAUGAAAUGUUGUUGGUUUUUGUGUAUAAAUUAGAUAAACUUUGUGUAUUACACAUAAUCAAAAUAUGUAGCAUUUAAGGAUGAAUUAAACUGAAGGUUAAGUCUAAGUACCUGAAUACAUAACGUUUGAAUUUGAUCGUUUUAGAAUCAAAUACAUAGAAAUUACCUGAAUGAAGGGGAAGUUUGAGGCCAAAAUCUCAUGUUUCGUCGGGGGAUUGGCAAGGGAAAGAUGCAGAGCAUGUCACCCAAUCAACUUUUUGAUCCUUUGAAACCACAAAUGCUUGACCAUAACCUUUAAUGGAACUUGAAAUUUGUGCAUAUUUUCAUUUUCUCCUCUAACAGAAGCUUGAAGAACUCCUCUGUAACCUUCUUCAAUUCAUCCAUGCUUUCUGGUUAUCCUAUCAUUUAUCAGAUGUUCGCAUUAAUAAAGCUCUCGAUUAAUAAUUAGAUUCACAAUAUGUAAAAACCUAAAUGAAAACUAGAGUAAUCGCAGAAGAAAUUAAAGGCACAAAAUCGGAAAAUCAACUAGGUGGCCAAGGACGGUGUUGUUGAGGUGACUGGAGGUAGUGGAGGGGGAGAGAGAGAGAGAGAGAGAGAGAGAGAGAGAGAGAGAGAGAGAGAGCAAGAGGAAUUUGAAGAUAUCGACCUAGGAGGGUAUCUUUGUUCUUUUGAAGGUGUGACAUCCCCAAAUUCAUGGUCAUUUUAAAAAUUUUAUUUAUGCUUAUUUAAAACUCAGAAUAUCCCUUUUGAAAAGUAGUAUUGCGGAAUUUGUUCCUAGAAAAACAUGAUAAUAAUAUUAUCCAAGCAUUUCCGAAAAAUGUAUUUUGUUUAUAUUAAAACUUUGGGAUGUCAAUACAGAAACAUAAGCAUAAACAGACCUAACUUUCAUUUACACUAGUGAUUUACAUCUCCUUUAAUCUCUCAUUGUAAUGUAGCUUCGUAUCUAUACCUGUGAUACAAAUAAACUGAGUAGGUAAGGUUGGGAAACCUGGUGAGUACAUAGGAUUUUCAACCCACAAUAAUAAAGUAAUUAUGUUUCAUCAUCAAACAAUUAACCCAAUUACUCAUCCUCAUUAUCUUCUUUAUUCUUAAGGAUCUACCUUAAGACUCAUCUAUUAUUCAUUUAUUAAUUCCGAAGGAUUGUCCUAAGGAAUACGCAUGAAGUCCAUCGCUGCUAAUGGAACAACUGCCAAUGUUAUCAAUUAGGCACAAUUGCCAAUAUUGUCAUUUAGGCGUAGCUUCCAGGAUUAUGAUGUGCUCUAUUAAGCGCAACUGCUAGGAUGUUUAGAGUACAUCGUAGUUCAAAAACAUCUACAGGUUGUGGCGCAGCUGCCAAUGUUCAUCUAUAUCAUCUCUCAUCAUUCAUCUACCCACCUUUACCCAAUAUUUUUAUAAGAAUAAAAUAGAUAUAUAGUUUACAUCAACUAAAACAUAUAUAUUCGGUUCAUCCAACAUAGCUAUCAAGAACACAUAUAAUAUGCACAUAUAGCACGUAAUUUAUAUGAAAUACUUCAUAUCUAUGUGUAAGAUGAAAGUAACUAUGCACUCACUUGUUAAAGUGAUAAUUCCAAACUCGGGCAACGCUUCGCUUCUAACAAUUAUAUUUUCCUUCGGUGAAACCUAGUAUCAUUACCGCUAGAUUUUAGUCUAAUAUUUAUAGCGACUAUUUACGAGCGAUAUUGUUUUAUAAGUGUUAAACAAUACUUUUCAACCACUAUGUACAGAUAUGGGCCAAACAUGAAAUAUCGGAGGGCAGGACCAUUUUGGCAUUAUAGCACUUCUGAAAUCCAACCCUAUGUGGCCCUACAAACUAGAUUCCCCAUACCGUGAGUAGUUAAAAGAUAUUAUAAUAAAAAUUUAUAUAUAUANUAUAUAUAUAUAUAUAUAUAGUUUAUAAGUUGAUAAUAACGAUAUUGAACUUAAACAUAAGCUAUACUUAACGUAGGGUAAACAUAACUCACUUACCAGGAGUUUAGACAAGGAACCGGGCUCUGCGGGGGCAAAAACUUCCGAGCCGAAAGCUCUUCUUCUCAGAGCCUUCUAGAACUCUGGGACUUGCCUCUACCACCCGAGAAGUGCUAGGGAAUGGAAGGGGCUCAGAGGAUUGUUUGAGAGAGAAAGAAUGGGAAAUAUGUGAGUUUUUGAGGUGAUUUGCGCCUCUAUUUAUAGGCUGAGUUCGGUGCAAACGUGGGGCAUUCCCUUGUUGAACGUUGGGCGUUCGUGGCCAGGUGUCAUCAUAUAGUGCCAAUCCGUAGUGAGGAAGCAGUGAUUCAGAUCGUGCCAUAUGUCGCUCGCUGGUUACUCCAAAACCUAAUUAUCUUCUAAAAUCCGUAACUUUUGUAUACGAGCUCCGUUUUUGACGUUCUUCAUACUCACACGUAGGUAUUGACAAGAUCUACAACUUUUCUUUUGACUCCAUUGACUAAUUUUUGAACGAUUUUAAAUUUAACCGUAUGAGAACACUGCACUGUGAACGACCGUGUAAAAUUCAUAACCUCUACAUACGGACUCCGUUUUCGACUGUCUUUUUAUUGUUCAACUGCUAUUAAUGAGGUAUUCAAUUCUCAUUUAGGUUGUGUCGGCUAAAAAUCGAUCGAUCAAAAAUUCGAUUUCCGGGCUAUGUACUGUUGUGUGAACUCUUAGAAAAAUCAUAACAUCCUCAUAUGAAGUCAGAUUUUGACAUUCUUUUUAUGCACGCUCACGGUUUAACGUCUACUACAAAUUUUGUUUAGAUCUCUAAGGCUAAAAAGUAAUUUCUUAAUAAUUCACUUUUUACGUUACGCGGUGCCUUGCCGGUUUAGCCGUAAAACUUCGACGGGUCAUAACUUCUUCGUUAUAACUCGGAUUUUAGCAUUCUUUAUAUGUACGGAACCCUUGUGACAUAUACUAAACGUUUGUUAAGAUUAUUCAUUCUAAAUAAUUUUCUAUUAAAAAGUCAUUCUUGAUGUUUAUUGUCUCUAAAUUGACUAGCCAGAAUCUGCGGACGUUAGAGAAGAAGGGGUAUGCAAAGUGACAAACCUUCUUUUAGAAGAAUAAGGAAGCCGUGAACAUCAUAGAGGAAAACGAUUUGAGGUGGUGGAUCGGUGGAGGGAUUAAACUAAACCAACAAGUAAUCCAAUGAACAGUAUCCUACUCAGGUACUGUUCCUAAGACCUAUAUGCAUUAAUAUAUAUAUAUAUAUAUANUUAUUCUAUCACUGCAAGUAAUGUCCAACCUAGCUGGGUUGAUGCACCGGGUUUUAUACCCAUAUGGGGCGUGAGGUUGGGAGUUCGAUUCCCUUAAACUACCUCUUGUGGUGCCACAUGUGUGGAAUUUUUUCCUGGAAAUUCCUAUGACGGCUGGGUUUACCCUGUAAAUGAGCUCAAACCCGGGGUGCUCAUUGAAAUAUUGCGAGUAGGCUUCUAUUUAAUCCGUUUGGUCUUUCNGAAAUGGCAAACGAAUUAAGUGAAUAUACAUUACAGUCCCACCUAAACUUAGGUACUAAACCACAUGAAAAUAUGUUGUUUUACUAUACAAAGAUUGUGAUUAAGGGAUUCACGAUUAACACUUGAAGAUGUAAAGUCAGGAUCAACACAAUAGUUUUAAUAAGGAAGUAAGAAUAUUGAUUAUCUUCGGCCUUCGUGACAGUAGAAAAUAAUAAUGUUCGCUGGAAUGAAGUAAUAAAUGAUAAUGGAUGAAAGAAAACAUGGAUGAUAAAAUGAUAAUGGAUGAAGGAAAUGUUAUCAUGGAUGAUAUAUUGUUUAGUGAAAACCAAACCGGGUAUUUUUACUAAGUUCAAAUGAUAUAUUUUAGAGGUUUAGUACCUAAGCUUAGGUGGGGCUGUAAUGUAUNNNNNNNNNNNNNNNNNNNNNNNNNNNNNNNNNNNNNNNNNNNNNNNNNNNNNNNNNNNNNNNNNNNNNNNNNNNNNNNNNNNNNNNNNNNNNNNNNNNNNNNNNNNNNNNNNNNNNNNNNNNNNNNNNNNNNNNNNNNNNNNNNNNNNNNNNNNNNNNNNNNNNNNNNNNNNNNNNNNNNNNNNNNNNNNNNNNNNNNNNNNNNNNNNNNNNNNNNNNNNNNNNNNNNNNNNNNNNNNNNNNNNNNNNNNNNNNNNNNNNNNNNNNNNNNNNNNNNNNNNNNNNNNNNNNNNNNNNNNNNNNNNNNNNNNNNNNNNNNNNNNNNNNNNNNNNNNNNNNNNNNNNNNNNNNNNNNNNNNNNNNNNNNNNNNNNNNNNNNNNNNNNNNNNNNNNNNNNNNNNNNNNNNNNNNNNNNNNNNNNNNNNNNNNNNNNNNNNNNNNNNNNNNNNNNNNNNNNNNNNNNNNNNNNNNNNNNNNNNNNNNNNNNNNNNNNNNNNNNNNNNNNNNNNNNNNNNNNNNNNNNUUGUGGAAGGUAUUUUUUUUUAUUGGAUUUUGGAUACGUUUUGUUUUUUGUUCUUAGAUUUAAUGGUCAUCAGCGAAAAUGAUUUUGAAUAAUAACAAAAAAAGGAAAAAUAAUAAUUUAUUAAAUAAAAUAGGUAUAUUAAUAUAUAUACAUGUGGAAUUUAGUUGGACAGGAACUCAAGAAUAGUCCAUGUCAUAUACCCACUCGAAAUUUUGUUAACUCGCAAACCUGGAGAAAACCUCUUUAGACCCUUGUUUAACCGGUCAAAUAUAAGUUUAAGGAGGUAUAACACAGGGAAAAAAAACAUCAAGGACCAUGUAACAUCCGGAUUCCCAGGUAUAUUAUAUAUUUCAUUUAUUUUGAAAUUUAGUGAGAGACUCGACGAGUAGGAGCCCUGACUCGCCGAGUUGGAUCGCGAUGUGAGUGGCCGAUUAAUGAAGAACUCGGCGAGUCCACGCUGUCUAAUGAAACCCUAACUUCUCGGGUUCACGCCCUAUUUAAAGACCCUUAUGGCCGUCAUUUGAGGCUACCAGUCCAUAGAGAGAAACCCUAGAGUGUUGGAGCGUUUUGAGAGAGAAGGAAGCCAUUCUUGACCUUUGUGGUGUUGUUUAGCAAGAAGAAGGAGGACCUAGCCAAGGGAAAGCAAAAGAGGUUGCUAUUAUGAGGAUUUGAAGCUAAGAUCAUGGCAUUUGAGGUAUUACUUCGGCUCUUCUUCUGUUUUAUGAAGAAUAUAUGGAUUUAGAGUUUCUUGUGCCCUUGUCUAAAUUGAUUUGAUGUCCAAUUAGUCCCUUCUGGUGAUGAGGCUUUGGAUCUGGAUCCAUAGAGGUCCAGAGAGCCUUACUCAUCAAGCUUUAUGAAAAACAAUGGAGGUCAUGACCUUGGGUUAAGGUAUUUGGGGCUAAAUCAUCUUAUAUGGUCAUAUGGAUGUUGCAUGUGCAUCAAGAUUGAGACUUUACGUGAUUAUAGUGGUUGGAAAGGCCAUAUCUAUGGAUUAGAGGAACAUAUCUGACCUCAGAAGGACGUUUGAGUGUGAGCAUGACAUGUACUCGCCGAGUCCAUGAGAGGACUCGACGAGUUGAGUCUGGUUGCCCUGCGACUCGUGAUCUGUGACGACCCGUGGAGUAUAGGGUUGACUCAGUGAGUCAAGAGAGGACCAGGGGUGAAGAGGACAGGCGUGUACUCGCCGAGUCACCUUAGUGCACUCGGUGAGUAGGGUCAACUAUGACCAUUGAAUUUCGUUGACUUUUAGGGUUUCGGUUAACAGUUAGACUUUUGAGUCAAGAAGGGGUAAAAUGAUCUUUUACCCUUCUGAGGGAUCAUAGAAGGGGGGAUCUAGCCUUUGGGAGCCAUUAUUUAUUUAGGAUAUUUUGUAUGUGAUUAGGCAGGGGCUAUCAGUAGAUUCGUGUGCGAGAUCAUCCGAGAUACUCGAGGUGAGUCUUCUCACUAUACGUUACCUUGAGUGGUAGUUAUGUGUGACUGGAAGGUAUUAUGUGCUUACAUUGAGUAUUAUGUUGUAUGUGACAUGCUAUGCAUUAUGUCUUUGUGAUUUAUGCUAUGCGGAGUUUAUAGACCGAACCGGAGGGUCCAACGAUUCAUGAGGCCAGAAGGCUCAAGUAGUCCGAACCGAAGGGUCCAACGAGCUUAGGACCGGUGGGUCCACAGAGAAUUGGGACUGGAGGGUCCCACUGAGACACACUGACCAGAGGGUCAACAGAGUUAUAGCCUUGAGUGGCUAAUAUGUGUUAGAGUGGUAUUUUGAGGAACUCACUAAGCUUCGUGUUUACAAUGUUUUGUGUUAUAUGUUUCAGGUUUUCUCAGGAUCACGAGACGGCACCAACUCGAUUAUACACACCAGUGGAAGCGUUUGUUUUGAGGAUCCUGGUUUAUUAAUUGAUUGAACAAAAGAGUUAUGUAUUGUAAUUAAAAUAAAAAGGAGAUUUUUAUGAAAAGUGUUAAAGAGAUAAACUAUUUUAAUUGAAAAUUUUGUUUUGAAAAUUUUAGUGUUACAGGCCAUUUAAAACCAAAAGCAAAAGUUUAUUGGGUUACAAUGAUAUUAACCCAUAUACUUAGCGUUUAAAGAUGAAUAAUCAAGGUUUAUUAAUUAUUAUAUCAUCAUACUAUAUUAUAAAUGAAACAUUUUUCCUAUCACCACAUUCAUUUGAAACUUCUAUGGAUUUUUCCUUUCACCACAUUCAUUUGAAACUGCCAUGAGUUUUCAAUUUCUUUUUAAUAAUAAUUAUAAGUUGGUUAAUAAAGUUAAAUAAAUAUCAAACCAAAAGUGUAAUCAUAUAUAAACUAAAUUUCAAUAUUAAAAUAAUAUCUUAAUUUUUAAUUAUUAAAUGAUGUUUUUUUUUGUUUUUUUUUUACUUUUAACAUAUUAUAAUUAAUUUAUUAGUUUUAAUAUAUUGUUGGAUGUAAACCAUUAUCAUUUUAAAGAUACAAUAUUGGAACAAUUUGUAUAAAAUACUUAAACUAUUAAUUCGAAUAUAACAUUACAAGGUCAACUUAAAUAUAAAUUUUAGUUUAACUUAAACAACCCAAAGAAUAUUUUUUAAAUAGUUAAAAGUGAUUAAUUGUAGUGUUUUUUUUCUAAUAAUAAUUAUAAGUUGGUUAAUAAGGUUAAAUAAAUAUCAAACAUAAAGUGUAAUCAUAAAUAUACUAAAUUUCAAUUUUAAAAUAAUAUCUUUACUUCUACUUAUAAAGUUAUGUCUUUAACUUUUAACAUAUUAUACUUAAUUUAUUAGAUUUAAUAUGUUGUUGUAUGUAAACAAUUAUCAGUUUAAAGCUACAACUUUUGAAUAGUUUGGACAAAAUACUUAAGUUGUUAUUUUCAAUAUAACAUUACAAUGCCAACUUAAAUAUAAAUUUCAGUUCUACUUGUAGGGUCUGAAAGGUGUUGCGUCUUGGGCUCGCUAUUUAGUCCAUUUAGUCUCCGGAUUGGGCCUGUCCAUCCGUGAGUUAUAUCUAGGGUUUUGUAUUUCUAGGUGCUUGCAUGCAUCUUAGUACGUAAGGAUUUGGAAGUCAAUUACUCUAAAAGAUUUGAUCUUUAUCGUUUGUAACCCUAACAUCCUCUACUGCGGAAGUUCUUUAUCGAGCUCUGCUGAGGCUUGAAUCUAUUGAAUCAUUCGACAUAUUUUGAUUUAUUCUUGUGUUUUAUAUUGCUGUUUAUCAUUUUUGUGAUUAACCUGUUAGAAGAUCUAAACGAUCAAAGAGUUUCUUAACUCAUUAAUUGGUAUCAGAGCGGGAGACUGUGUAAUUCAUACACAUCUCUUCUGUGAAAGAAGUGAUUAGGGUUUAUUCCGCAUUUACUGAUAUUUAUUGAACCGUCACUCCAUAAUUGAUGUAUCUUAGUAUUUAUUAAUCUUGCCCUAAUAUUACGUAUUACAAGUCUGAUCUUACAACAGGUUAAACGAUCAAGCAUGGACGAUUCUCAAUCCAAUCCUAUCAACAUCUCAAACAGUAUAGGAUCUACAACUAAGAUUCCAAUUCUCUACACUCAAGACUACGAGGUUUGGGCGCAUCACUUUGAAGACUACGUCAUUGGAUCUGAAGAUAAUGGGUAUUUGAUAUGGGAAGCUAUUGUGUCUGGACCAUUUGCUCAUUCAGGAACAUCCAGAAUUAUUAAAACUCAAAAGGAGUAUAAUGAUUUGUUAAAAGAUGUGAAAGAUGUUGCUCAGGACGAAAAGGAGAAGUUUCAAUGCAACAUCAAGGCAUUGAGACUGAUUCGAUUUGCUCUUCAAUCCGACACGUUUAGAUUGGUAAGUUCCUAUAGUACUGCUAAAGAAAUCUGGGAUCGGCUGCGAGAGCUAUAUUCUACAGAUGAAGAUCUGGAGCACUCAAUUCAGACCUUGCUUCUGUCUGAAUUUGGAGAGUUCAAGCAAAAUCCUGAUGAAUCUGUUACACAGACGUUUGAUCGCUUCAAUCAUCUUCUCAGCAAGAUGAUCAAACAUGAUAUUGAAAGGAAGCUUAUUGAACAAAAGGUCACUUUUAUGAAUGGUCUAAGAUCCGAAUGGAGAGCUGUCGUGUCAACAGUUAAAGCACACGAGCAGUUCAAAUCGUACUCGCUGGCAAAACUGGUGGGAAUUCUGAAAUCCCAAGAAAAGAUUGUGCUGUAAGAGAAAAGCGUGGUUUCUAAUCUGGGGUCUCUGGCGCUUCUGUCCAAGGGUAAAAGUGUAGAAGUAGAUGAAGAGGAUCUUAAUCUAGGAGAUCACGAUCUGACAGCCGAAGACUAUGCUUUAAUGGUGUCAAAUCCUAGAAGGUUUAUCAAGAAAAAGUUUCCUUCUAACAAAAAUCGUAAUUGGAAGGGAAGCUAUAGUUCCGAAAGAGUGAAAGAUGAACCGAAGGUUGAGGAGUCGAAAAAGGAAGCAAAGGGUGAAGUUGACUCUGGUGUUAGUUGCUUCUACUGGGGGGGAAAGAUUCACUACGCCAAGGAUUGCGUGCUGAAGAAGAUGGCUGAGAAAGACGAAGAGAAAGAUGAAGAAGCAAGUCUUAUGAAAAGACUGGAAGAGAUAAAAAGGAAGAAGGCUGGCACUAAUCCUUCUAUGAAUGCUCUUAUUGUGCAGGGUUCGGCAGAGGAUGACGAGUUCGGUGGCGUACAGGUGUGGUCGACCGAUUCAGAACAUGAUGAGGUGAGAAAGCCUUCUCAUGGAAAGGCUUAUGUUGCAAAAGGUGGUGAAACCGGUGGAAGAUGUCUGAUAGUGACCAAUGUAUCUCAGAUGAGGGGAUACAACACUGAUGGUGGAAAUGAAGAGGCCAAGGAGCGAGAGGACUUAUGCUUUACAACAAAACCUCUCAGUGUGCAGAUCAAUGAACUUGAUGAACUGAUCAAGAAGGUACAAUCUGUUUUUGUUUCGUUUAAAAUUCCACAAAAAUCAUAUGAAAAGAAAUUAAAUUACUUGAAUUCAAUACUUUCAAAUCUAGAUAGUUGUUUAACUCAGACACGGGUCACAAAUUCUAAUAUGACUGACCAAAUAAGCAGGGUGUCAUCCAAGAGUGAGGAGCGAAGGAUGUGGAUUGAGCAGAAGGAGUCAGAGCUAAUUAAGUCAAGAGAUGAAAACAUUUAUUUGCAAAGAGACAAUUUGAAAUUGUUAAAACAAAGGAAUGUUUUUUGUUUGAUCGCUAAAAGACUUUAUGCUAACAUUACUCAACUGCAUCUAAAUUGUGAAAUAGGGCAGAAGAUACAUCGCAUGAUUCUACCCUUCCUUGAGUUUAAGGAGGAUGAAAUCGAUGCCGAAGCAUACAACUGUGAAAGUGUUGUAUCUUCCGAUGAUGUUAAUCCUACUUAUAUGUAUGGUCUGGACAAAAUAGAAUCUUUUAUAAAGUCCAAAGACCAUAAGGACAUGCUUAAAAAUCUUUUGGAUGAAAAUGAUAAGCUGAAACUCAGGACCGAAACCAUACAAAAAUUCGACUCAUUGAGUACCAAUUUAAGUUCAGAAAACAAAAUUGAUGUUGAAAACGCAUCUGAACUUAAUGAGGACGAUGAUAUGAGUGAAAUUUCUGUAGAGGUCGAAGUCGACUGUUCUGAGUUUAUCAAGAGCGAAUACGAAAACCACAAAAACCUGAUUUCUGAAAAUUCUGUGGAAUUCGCUUGUCUGUCCAAAACUAAGUCCCCAGCCCUUAAAGAAAAGGCCAUUGUGUUUCAGAAGGUUAGAACUACUCCCAAUCAGGUGUAUAAGGUCACAGGAGUAACCGAACAUCAAACAGCCGAACUCACUGCCAUAGUGNACCAUAAUGAACGAAGAUAAUGCAGAUGGCUAUGAUGAGUUUUUCUGGUCAGCACCCAUAGACAAUGCAGACGAAACGUUUGGUCUAUCGGAGCGAGCAUCCUGGAAGACUAAAGGUAGAUAUGUGCCCGAACCGCUGAAUAAGCCUACCAACUUUGACGUACCAAGUACAAGUGGCACAAAAGAAAUUCCUGUAGAAGAAAUCACCUCCACAAGCGAAACCUCAUCUAUGAAGAGUGAACCGGUUGCCAAGAAGCUGAAACAAAAAGCUAAUAUCCACAGACAACCGAAACAGGUGAAAAAUCAAAAGCAGCAGAGAAACCUGAGAUACAAGAAAAAUCUCUCAGAGCGAAAGCAGUUUUGGCGCUCUCAAAACCCUCAUUACUCUUACCAUGAUAAAGAUUCUAAGUCAGAGAGAAAUGCUUUCGGGGCACACGAAGAACUGAACCGAAAGGAUAGGUUCGGUCCCGAAAGCAACAGCAACCGAAAUGCUAGUUUCGGUCCGUCAAAUAAUAACAGGCAAAAACCUGAUUUCAGUCCAUCAAGCUUUUAUAAUAAAAGACCAAGUUUCAGACCACCAACCAACAACACCCAAAAAACCAACUUCGGCUCAUCAUCAAGCGGCUACUGAAGGUCCAGGUUCGGUCCCUCUAAUGACCACAAACGAAAGGGUCAUUUUGAACCCCAAGUCAGGAAAGACUCUCAUUCUAAUUUCUUUUCCUCUAAUUCUUCUCAUUCUCAAUCUUCUUCUAAACCCAAUUCUGUUCCUACACAAAAUUCAAGAUCAUCAACGAACUUGAAAGGAAAAAGGAAGAUUUCCUCAGCCAAAGAAGACUGAAAGCAGACUAAAGUGCAUACCCCAUAAUCUGAAUCCAAAAAGCAUGCAACUAGUCCUAAUAAAAUCAAAGUGUUUACCAUUAAAAGAAAAGAUGAAACAACCUUAAUAAAACGAACAUAUCUUGUUGAUGUUUCUCUUACUAUUCCUGUUCCUGUGAAAGGCUCACAUGGACCCAAGAAACUUUGGGUUCCUAAAUCUGCUUAAUUUUUGCAGGUUAUUAGUGACGAGCAGUUUGACGAAGAAUGGUAUAUUGACAGUGGCUGCUCACGUCACAUGACAGGAAGGAAGGAAGAGCUAAGGGAGUUUCGAUCACUUCAAAAUGGUGGCAAUGUCAAGUUCGGUAACAACUCCUAUGGAACAAUAAAGGGUUAUGGGAUGAUAACCAAUGGAGACUUCACAAUAAGAAAGGUGGCGUACGUUGAAGGGUUGCAGCAUAAUCUCAUCAGUGUAUCUCAACUGGUGGGAGGUACCGGUCUCAAAGUUUCAUUCGACGACGAAGGCUCAGAAAUUAUAGAGAAGAAAUCCAACAAGGUCAUUCUCAAAUCAGAUCGAAAAGGCGAAAUGUUUCCUCUGAAUCUCAGACCAAUCAAAGGGAAUCCAACCAUAUGUCUUUUAUCCAAAGCUCAUUCAGACAAAGUUGGUUGUGGCACCGAAGGCUCUCACAUCUCAACUUCAAAAACAUCAACAAACUUGUCACCGGAGGUCAUGUUUGGGCUCUUCCAUUGCUCAAAUUUGAUCGAGAACACUUGUGCGCUGCAUGCGAAAUGGGGAAACAAAGUCGUCAAAGUCACCCAUCAAUUAUAAACACAAAAGUUGUUGAACCACUUGAGUUGCUUCACAUCGACUUAUGUGGUCCAUCAUCAAUCGAGAGCAUUGGCGGUAGCAAGUAUAUUCUUGUUAUUGUUGAUGAUUUCUCACGUUUUACAUGGGUAUUCUUUCUGAAGCACAAAUCUGAGGCCACUCCUAAGCUAAAGAUGUUUAUCAAGCAGGUUGAAGUGCAACUGAGAAAAGUCGUUCNAAGAAUUCGAUCUUGGCAGAAAAAGGAACUAGUCAUAACUUCUCAGCCCCUUAUAUGCCUCAAUAGAACGGUAUUUUCGAAAGGCAAAACCGAUCCUUGUGUGAGGCGGCUCGAACUAUGCUAAGUUUUGCUUCUCUUCUGGGCUGAUGCUAUUGCUGCAGCAUGUUUUACGCAUAAUAGGACUUAUCUCAACAAACGUUUCUCUCUCACUCCUUAUGAGAUCACCAAUAACAGGAAGCUGAAUGUAAAAUUCUUCCAUGUGUUCGGUUCAAGGUGCUUCAUCUUCAACUCCAAAGAACAUCGUAACAAAUUUGAUGUUAAAGCUGACGAAGGAAUUUUUCUGGGAUAUUCUCUUACUUCAAAGGCAUACAGGGUUUUAACUUUUAAAUAAACGUUCUAGAAAGAUUGAAGAAACCUAUUAUGUGACUUUUGAUGACAGUUACGUCAAGAAACUAAAGACUACUGUAGAAGCAGUUGGAGAGAGUUUUCUCUCAAACAGGUCAAGUCACAGCCACAAUUGCUAAUUUAUUUGAUCAGUUCGUAGACUUAUUCGAUGAACCUGAGAAAGCCACUCUCUCGGAAGCCAAGGCGGCAGACAGCAAAAUCGAUCGUCUGAAGCAAAUUGUCGAAGAUGCAGCCAAACAAAUGGGAGAAGGAGAACCAGUUCGAAACGAACCUCCUCAGCACGACACUUCAGUUGAGGGGGAGAAUCAAUUCUCUUCAAAUCAACCGGAAUCACAUUUUCAGGGGGAGAAUUCAAUCCCUAUAACACCCGAAAGUUCUGUAGCACCCGAAAGCCCGACUACACCCGAAAGUCCUGUAGCACCCGAAAGCCCGACUACACCUGAGAGUUAUUUAGCACCCGAAGGUCCAAAUCAACCUGAAUAUCCAAAUGAUUCAUCAUCUGUCGAGGGGGAGAAUUCUGAUAUGUUCUAUGAUGAUGAUAUUCAAUCCGAGUUGGAAGAAAUGGUCAAUGCUGAAUUGGAUCCAUUUUAUGAUCCAAACUUUCCUCCGCUCACUAAAUGGACCAGAGAUCAUCCUGUAUCUCAAAUAGUGGGUAAUGUAUCUGAAAAGGUCCUAACCCGAUCUCAAGUGAAGGCAAAGCAAACCUCCCUAUUCUCCAAAGUAGAGUUCUGCAUGUAUAAUUCCUUCGUAUCCAAAGUUGAGCCAAAGACCGUCAAUAUUGCUCUUGAUCAUUCUGAUUGGUUCUAAGCAAUGCAAGAUGAACUCAAUGAGUUUGAAAGAAAUAAGGUCCGGCGUCUCAUUCCAACACCAAAAGAUGCCUCAAUCGUUGGUCUCAAAUGGGUAUUCAGAAAUAAAAUGGAUAAGGAGGGAAAUGUGAUUCGUAAUAAAGCUCGUCUUGUGGUGAAAGGAUACUACCAGGAAGAAGGAAUUGACUAUGAAGAAACAUUUGCUCCGGUAGCAAGGCUGGAAUCUGUUCGAAUAUUUCUUGCCUAUGCCGCACAGAAGAACUUCGAAGUCUACCAAAUGGAUGUGAAAUGCGCCUUUCUGAAUGGAGAACUUGAAGAAACAGUUUACGUGGAGCAGCCUCCUGGUUUUGUGAAUGAAAAGCAUCCAAAUCACUGCUACAUUCUAGACAAGGCAGUUUAUGGUCUGAAACAAGCGCCUAGGGCAUGGUAUGAAACACUAACUAAGUUCUUAAAGAUGUCUAAAUUCAAACAAGGUUCGGUUGACCCAACCUUCUUUCGUAAAAAGGAAGGUAACCACCUUAUGAUAGUUCAAAUCUAUGUCGAUGAUAUCAUCUUUGGCUCAACGAAUCCUAGCUUAACAGCUGAAUUCAGAAAGCUGAUGGAGACUAAAUUUGAAAUGAGCUCAAUGGGUCCGAUUAACUUUUUCCUUGGUUUAAACAUUAGACAGGGACCCGAAGGCAUCUUUAUCAACCAGGAAGCAUAUACCAAGACUCUUCUUGCUAAAUUCGGCAUGAUGGGAGAUUCAAAGGUCAAAGUUCCAAUGGCGUUCGGCACCAAACUCACACCAUCCUUGGAAAAACCGGCAGUCGAUAUAACGCUAUACCGCCAAAUGAUUGGUUCCCUGAUGUACCUCACAGCUAGCAGGCCUGAUAUAAUGUUUUCUGUGUGUUAUUGUGCUAGGUUUCAGGCGAAUCCUCGUGAACCACACAUGCUAGCAGUGAAAAACAUACUCCGAUAUCUGAAGCGAACCACCUCUCUCGGUCUCUGGUAUCCCUCAAACUCAGGUUUCUUUGUUCAAGCCUACUCAGAUGCAGACCUUGGAGGAUGUGGUUUAGACAGGAAAAGCACCACAGGAGGAUGUCAAUUCCUCGACGGGAAGUUGGUGAGCUGGCAAUCUAAGAAACAAACAUGUGUUUCACUGUCUACAGCCGAAGCAGAAUAUAUUGCAGCCGCUUCUUGCACAUCUCAAGUGAUUUGGAUCCAAAGCCAACUCCGGGAUUAUGGACUCAAUAUGAAAAAGAUCCCACUAUAUUGUGACUCAGAAAGUGCAAUUAGGAUCUGUCAUAACCCAGUGCAACAUUCCAAAACCAAACACAUUGCAUUGAGGUAUCACUUCAUUAAAGAUCACGUAGAAGACGGAAACGUAGAGAUUCAUUUUGUUCGAACUACUGAUCAACUGGCUGACAUCUUCACCAAAGCUCUUCCUGAAGCAAGUUUUAAUAAAAUUCUACAAGGGCUAGGUAUGAUGGAAUCGGAGUCAGUACCAAAAACUACUUCUCAAAACUAAAAGUUGGAAGCGAAAUGAACCGAACGUUCGGGUUCGGUUCACGUGAGUGCCGAAAUGAACCGAGCGCUCGGGUUCGGUCCUAUUCACUUGUCUUCGCUUAUCACUUAAAGGUAGUUUCUUUGGUUGUAAACUUUUUGUACCCUUAUUUCUCAAUUAUUUCUCUCUUAUUUUCCAAUUCUUUUUCUUUUUCAAACAUUUUUUUUGAAACCGAAAUGAACCGAGCGUUCGGUCUAUUUCGGGUUCGGUUCCAAAUUUUUUUUUUGUUGUUUGUUUUAUUUUUGUUUUUCUCUUUGAAUCAAAAACUCCAAAAAUAUUUUUUUUCUCUAUUCGUUAAAUUUUUUUAUUUUUAUUUUUAUCAUUUGUGGAUAAUCAAUGGGGCAGGUAUUGUUCUCACAUAUUUUAAUAGUUAAGUGUCCCUAGAAGCAUACUGCUGUAUGUUGUCCAAAGCCUCAACUGAUUCUGAAUAAAGCCUUACUGACGUGGUAUAUACAAACCAUGUCUUCCCAAUUAGGCUAUUAUAUUUAUUCUAAUCAUGAGCUACCUUACUCUCUUCUCACAUUAGAUAAGAGUUUUCUGCUUGGUCCUUAUUUUAACAGCAGAGGUACUUUGGUUUCUUUACACCAUCUCCAAUAUUUUUCUCCAUCCUAUUCGCUUCAUACACGUAACCCUUGAGACUCUCAGAAAUUACCACUGAGGUUUAUGGUUACACAAUUUCUGUGUUUAUGAUCUUAGCUUCGUGCCACUACGUGCUAAGUGAAACCCACAAUUCAAUACCUACUAUGCAUUGACGGUGAACAAUUAAAUUUGCUCUAGUUUUCACUAAUGAAUUAACGAAUUCACCCAAGUGGUUGUACCUUGAAAUCUCUAAUUUUUCUUUUUGUGUGAUUCUUAUGAAAUUGUUAAAUCCCAUAACAUUUCUUCCCUUAGAAUCCAGUUUCAAUUUUUUUUUCUCUGAGAUUUCACCUAAAAGUAUUUUCAACAUGUCACUUACAUUCUCUUCGCACCUACUUGUUCAACAGACCACAUUGGUCUCACAAGUACUUCAGUCGAUUUCUGUCUUAUGUCAAGAUCAGGAAUUCUGAAUUGAAGUGAAAGCCUCCGAAAUUAGCCUUAUAAAAAAAAUGCCUUUCAACACUUCUUUAUAAGUGUCUGAUUGUAAUUCAACGGGACACCUCACAAACACUUUAAGGUCUCUCUUGACCUUGAAGGAAGAGAUUCGUGCCCGAGAUCCAUUGUUUCGUGUCUUUAUUGACAUCACAAUUUCCCACAUAUGAGUUGCUUUAUUUCUUUUUCUUUUACACUCUAUGCACGAAAAUCUUUUUGAUUUUCCAUAAAUCCGGUUUCGUGAAUUACAACUCACUCUAAAGGGAUAAGUUGCUGACUCAGCCAAAAGUCUAAUCGCUUUAAUAUUUCAAACGGCGCUUGAUGGGAAGGCGUGUGAAGCGGAACCGUUUUUGACAUUUCAAACGGCGCCUGAUGGGAAGGCGUGUGAAACGGGACAGUCUUUCUCUCUCCUGCGUAAUCAUCGAGGCUCUAAAUUGUCACGCGUCAAUCACCUAAGGAAACGCUUUGUAUUUUCUUUGAAGAUUUGGGAACAGAUUUUUCUCUCUCUUCUCACCACGGUAUAAAAGGUAACUUCUACCGUUAUUUACCUCUUUACCGCACCAAAUAUUCAGAGAGUAAGAAAAGAUUUGUUUCUCCUACUGUUCAUCAUCUUCCCCAAAUUCUUCUCUUCAAUGGCGGACUCCUCUUCAGUUCAUGCUACUUCUCACAUUCUGCCCAUCCGUCCUCAACAAAGCCUAAUCGUCGAUCUCACUCCACAAGUUUACGAUGCGUUCAUGUUUCCAAUCGUGGAUUGUAUCAAGCAUUCGCCACUGGUUCCAGCACUUACCAAAGUCGAAUCUGUUCCAAUGGAGUGUUUGUCGCAAAUCUUCUCCACAGCCCACUAUGACAAGUCUAUCGAUCGAAUCUUCUUCGACAUUCUUGAUAACAAGGCCUCCAUCUCCAAACAGCGAUUCUGUUCGCUUCUAGGGUUUCUACCUGAUGAGUCUAGGGUUAACCCUGAAUCCAUUCCAGUGGGACAGUUGUUCUCCAUGUUUUAUAACAUGGGUUAUACUGAAAUUCUGACGACCGUCACAAAGUUCAAGAAAUCCUGCUUACCUCCUUAGUGGAACGGCUUCUUCAUAGUUUUGUUCAAGGGGUUAUCAGAACGCAGUGCCGGUUCAGACGGGGCAAGUCGUCUGUUUAUGACCAUUCUUUAUGGGCUGUACCAUGGCAUCAACCUUGAUUAUGGGUCGAUUUUAUGGCAACAUCUGAUUUAGAGUCUAGCGUCUACUUCUCGCCAUUCAGAGAUCUCGUAUGCCAUUCUGGACGUUGGUCACAAAGUGGGUGAUGGACAAGUAUCACGUUCCUAUUGUUGCUGAUUCUUAACUUUCCUCGAUAGGAACUUUUCACACUACGAAGAUAAUCGUCUCUGAUUCAUCUAAAUUUCAGUUCGUUGGCUCAAUCUCUGAGUCAAUGUAUGGAUGUGUUCCAAGCGACAGCCGCAUUAUCAGAACUUACAAGGAGUUUCGUCGCUCAGGUCCCAGAGAGCUCACUCCUGAAAUGAUUUAAUCAAUCCAUGAUGCUGAUAAGCCUGCUCCCAGAGGAAAGAAACAUGACAAGGGAAAAGACAAGAAGGUUGUCAAAGGAGCGAAAGGUCCUUCUCUGAAGAAACGCAAACCUUCCAAGGCAGCUCAAUCCCCUCCACCAAAGAAGAUGAAGACUCAACCUAGGCGCAAGCUUAUUCUUGCCUCCUCCUCUAGCGAAUAUGAGGAAGAGAGUUCAGACUCCGAAGAGUCCCUUCGAGGUAAUACUCCUCCAAGCUCGCCUACCCCUGAGGUACCUGUUUCCACUAGACCUGUCUCUCCUCCCCCAAUCUCCAUCUCUAUUUCCAUUCCCCCCAUAACCUCCACUACUCAAAUACCACCCACCUCUAUCCCUGUACCACCUCCUAUUUUCACUGAAGCUACCACCACAACCACCGCUGGAGUUAGAACCAACGUAUCUGAUACGGGGGCUCCUACUACAGCACCCGAACCCACUCCCGCUACCGAACAUACAUCCGUACCCGAACCUACUUCCACAACCGAGCCUCCACCCUCACCCUCAUCUCCUGCUCACUCAACAGAUAAUGAAGAACCUUUUCUUGGAGGAGAGGACAUGACGUUUGACUCGGUCUAUUACAGUCCGUAUCAAAUGCAAAGUGAUGAUGAUGAUGAUGCUCCAGUCACCAAGAAGCAUCUCAAGGAGCUUCAUGAGAAAAUCGAUUCUCUCAUUGCUUCCUCCUCUUCUUCCUCACGAUCUACUAUCUCAGAGGCUGCUAUUCAGGGGCUCGUUGAUACGUUUACUAAGGCUCAUGAAGCCUCUAUCAACUCUGCCACUGCCGCUAUCAAUGUCUCUACCAAGGCGUGUGCAGCAGCGACCGAAAAAGUCGAAAAACUAUUUAUUGACGCUACUUCUCUUUUGCAGUCUUUACAGGGAACACUGAUUCCAAUGCAGAGAAGCUUGACUCUAUUGUCAACACGCUGACCACCUCAGUUGCUUCCGAACUGCAGUCAUUUGCCAGUCUUCGUCAAUCUCUCAGCGAUGACAACAAAUUAUUCCAGGCGACUGUUGAGGAGCGCCUGUCUAAGCUGCAAGAAGAUCUCGCUUCAGAGAACUCAGUGAUGGAUGCUCUCGCUCGCAAGACCACUGCUCUCAAGGUCAAGAGUCUUCAUCUUUUCCAAUCUGAAAAGGAAGUUGCGUCUCUUCGAUCUAAGCGUGUGGUUAUUUCAUCGUGUGUUUCGGAUGUCCACGCCGCCCUUUCCAACAUCCUUGAAGCACAUGAUCCGAUCCUGAAUUACUCCGUGAGGCGCACUCUCGCAGAGAAGCUUGCUCCUGCCCUUGCCCUAGUUAGCAAACUUGAAGGGCUUCUUGAGUUCGUGGCCCAUCCGAAACAAGGGGGAGAAGAUGUGUCUCAACCGCCUCCCACUUCCACAGCAACUAAAGCAACUGAACCUCCUUCAGCAGGUCAAGCCUCAGGUUCGGGUGUCAAAGACAAAGGAAAGAAGAUUGCUGAAGACAGUGAUGAUGAUGAUAAAGAGACCAUCGCUGAUCUUUUAAAGAAACAAGGUCGGGAUAAAGAUGCUGACAUGAGCGCUUGCGUUGCCAGGGAAUUCGAGGCGAACGAACGACAAAUGAAGGAGGCUCAUGACCUUCUUGAGAGUAGGAAAACUCUUUUUCCUUUGUGAACUCUUAAGAAGCUUUUAAAAGAGGCAAUUGAAACUCCCAGCAUCCUGUGGCUCGAACCAAGGAUUUCAUUGGAUCGAAUCAAUUCUGUCGAUUCUCAGUUCGACAUGCCACUGACCCGAAAAGCCUAACGUUGCUGAUGUCCCUUAUCCUCAUCCAAAGGUUGAUAGGGAACUUGUCAAAUUCUAUCUGAAGUCUGCUCAACCACAGUAUCAGACUUGGAGCGCUCAGAAAAUCAUCAACGUUCGGGUCCUCAAGCCGUUUCGUGAGGGGAACUUCACGAACGUUCGGUUCAAAGUGCUGAGGGGUUCUGCUAAAACCGAACACGCUAUAUCACUUGCUGAUCUUCCCAACCUGAAUCCACAUGAUUGGAUUAUUUUGCAUAACAUCCUCCUCACCAACGAAGCUGAGUAUGGUCCAAUUAUUGAUCACUUCAAAAGGAUGCUCGUAUGCUACAUUAUGGAGGUUGCCAAGAUGGAUCAGGAGAUCGCCAGCAUAUUCAAGAAAAAGCCUACUAUCUCUCCUGUGGGCUCUACUAGUGAUUUGAACUUGAUGCAGAUGGGAAGAAUCGACCCGAAGCGGAAUUCUGUCAUGUUUACAAGGAAUGAAGGCCAAAAAUGCCUGUUCGCCUUGGCAGAUAAGCACCUUUACACCACUGCAUGCUUGGAACAUGUUCUGGGAAUCAUUCAUCGAUGCAAGCAGAAUUCAGCAGAUGACAAGAAGUAUUUUGAUGACAUGAUUCAGUGGUACAUUCGCUUCAGACAGACCAUCCUUGCUCUCAUCCCACGUCUGUUUGAAACCACUAAGAAAGUUCCUGUAGCUGGACCCAGCAAACCGAAGUGAUAGUCUCGCUCCAAUUGACGCAAAGGGGGAGAUUGUAGGGUCUGAAAGGUGUUGCGUCUUGGGCUCGCUAUUUAGUUCAUUUAGUCUCCGGAUUGGGCCUGUCCAUCCGUGAGUUACAUCUAGGGUUUUGUAUUUAUAAGUGCUUGCAUGCAUCUUAGUACGUAAGGAUUUGGAAGUCAAUUACUCUAAAAGAUUUGAUCUUUAUCGUUUGUAACCCUAACAGCCUCUACAACGGAAGUUCUUUAUCGAGCUCUGCUGAUGCUUGAAUCUAUUGAAUCAUUCGACAUAUUUUGAUUCAUUCUUGUGUUUUAUAUUGCUCUUUAUCGUUUUUGUGAUUAACCUAUUAGAAGAUCUAAACGAUCAAAGAGUUUCUUAACUCACAACUACUUAAAAAACUAAAGAAUAUUUUGUAAAUAAUUAAAAGUGAUAAAUUGUAGUGAUAAAUGCAAAAACGAAAUUGUAAUAUCAAUUUAACUAAAAUAUUUCCUAAAGAUAUAUUUUUAUAAUCGUUAAAAGUUUUCAAAUAAGCAUCUUAAAAUAACUUACAAUAACAAUAGUUAAAAAUAACUUUAUAUAAAUGAUUAUAUUGUUACUUUUAAAAUGAAAAAACAAUGUUUGAUGUUUUAAAUAAUUAUAGUGAUAGAAAUUAAAACAUUAAGCAAAUAAAUUUUUAAAAAUUAAUUAAAAAUAACAAUUAACAACUAUAAAUAUCAUUAAAUCAUAUAUUAUAUUUAAUUUUAUUUAUGUGUUACUUGCGGGUAGAAGUCAUUCAAACAAUUGAGAUUAUGCAGUUAUAGUAUAUAUNUGAAUUAUUAUAUCAAAUUUAACAACAACGUUAUUUGAUAUAUUAAAAAAAUAUAUUUGUAAUGACUUAAACUAUAUAAGUAUUUCUACGUAAUGCGUGGAUAUUCGGUAGCGAGUAAUAAUAAUUCCGUGAGGUAAUCUUGGCUUUCCUUUUUCUUAUAUUAGAACUUAGCGGAUUGCAAAAACCAUAAUGUGUCAAAAGUUUUUGUCCAACUUGGAGUAUAAAUCCAACCAAAUAUUAAAAAUAACAAAUUAUUAAUCCCUAUUCUAAUAAAAGAAUAGUUUUAAUCUCCUUUUGACAUGUGUCAUCAUAUUAAACUUCCUAAUUAAUGCAUAUUUUUUUUUUUUUUUGCCAUGUGGCACCCUAUUAGGCCUUCUAAUUAAUGCAUGUCAUUUGACAACCUAUUAAUUUUAUAUUUCAAAUUUCAAAUUUUAAAUUUCACACUCUAAUUACAUUAAAUUAACAACAUUAAGAUAAAAUUAAUACACAUUAUAAGGUGAUAUAAAUUCACGUAUUUAUUUAAAUUAACGAUUAUAAUUUUAUAUAAUUAAAAAAUAUCUCUUAAUUAAUAAUUUAUUUAAAAUAAUUGUUUAAUAAUUUUAAAUUCUCACUAUGAAAGUUUAGUUAAUUUUAUAACCGUGGUUUCCACAGGUUAUAAACUAAUAUUUAAAAUAAUUAUUUAAUAAUUUUGAAUCUUUAAAAGUUUAAUUAAUUUUAUAACUUUGGUUUCUAUGAAUUAUAAAGUGAUGAAUAAUAGAGCAAGGAAGCUAACAAGUAACAACCAUGGGUGACCCACUGCUUUCCCUGCACUAGAGGGCUGCUUUUAAUCCAAUAGUUGUUUCAAGAAAACAGCCAACGAAAUUACAAUACGUACAAAAAAAAAAAAUUCCAACCAUGAAUAAAUUAUGCAGUUUAAAACGACUGAGGUAGUCCACGCAUGGUCAACUUGUGGAGUAUAGAAUCUCAAAACUGAAAUCUUCUACAGCUUGAUAAACCCAAUAAAAUGCUUACAUCCUGGCUUCAGGAAUCGUAAACAGCAAAUGAUGAGAGAAACAUUCCUUCUAUUCCUCCUCUUCUGUUCCUUGAUCGAAUCUUCAGCUUCAAAGAACACCAUUAAAGACCAUCUUCAGAGGGGUUCCUCUCUAUCUGUUGAUGAUAGUUCAGACGUCAUAAGGUCCCCAGACAACACUUACACCUGUGGCUUCUAUGGCUUCCAAAGCGAUGCUUAUUGGUUCGCAAUUUGGUUCACAAACUCCAAAGAGCGCACAGCGGUCUGGACAGCCAACCGCAACACACCUGUGAAUGGCCGUGGUUCAAAGAUGACAUUUAGGAGAAACGGAGCCAUGGUUUUGACAGAUGUGGAUGGCAUGGUCGUGUGGGAAACAAACACAACCUCCACAGAUGUAGAUAGAGCAGUGCUGCUGAAUACAGGUAAUCUGGUGCUACAGAACCAAAAAGGUCAGAUUCUUUGGCAAAGUUUUGAUUAUCCAACAGAUACUCUAUUGCCUUCUCAAACACUAACAAAGAGAAAAAGCUUG
rnacentral:lncRNA from 1 species